rnacentral:lncRNA from 1 species
ACCUGUACCCCAAAACCACACGGGGUGAGAACUAUAUAAAUAUAGUUCCCAGUGGGUUCGGCCGCCGACUCCGCCGAUCUUCCCACUAGGUCCAAGCUGGCACAGAUAGAUAGAUAGAAAGAUAUAUGGAAAUACUACUACUAUAUCUACUAUGCCAUCAAAUGCAAAGUAUGCAUGGAACAUCAUCUAGCAACAAUCUACUAUCAUGCUAAUAUGCCUCAACAGUGAAAUAAAUACAACAACAACAUAGUUAUGCAAUGCACUAUGUCUAAUCAAGGUAUGAAUGCAAUACUCUUAUGCUAUUCAUGUUAUUACCCAAUCCGCUAGGCUAACUUGCCUAAGAUCUCAAAUCUAGUAGGUGAAGAGCUACCUCACUCUUGUCUCACUCGACUCAUAUCUCAAGGGUCUGACCCAAUCUCGUGAGUCCCAGGCAAAGAGCUACCCCGCCCCUCGCCCGACUCACAUCUCAAGGUCCUAGGCAAAGGCUACCCCGCACUUUGCCCGACUCACAUCUCGACCUACUAGGUACAGGGCUACUCCACUCAAAUCUCAUAGGUGAACAACAACAACAACUAUGGAAGCAAGCUAUCAUGAACAACAAUAAUGAGUAUGACUCAAUAGGUACUCAAAUCUCAUAGGUGAAGGAAUAGUAUAUCAUGAAGGCAUGAGCAAUAAGUAAGCUACUAUGAACACUAGUAAGCUACUAUGAACAACAACAACAACUAUGGAAGCAAGCUAUCAUGAACAACAAUAAUGAGUAUGACUCAAUAGGUAACCAAAUCUCAUGGUGAACACAAGGUUCACAAGCAAGGCUCACAUAUCAAUCUCCGAGGGAUGCCUAGCUGGACUAUCCCCGAGUACGCCUGCGGAUAACAAGCGGCUAUCCGAGCAGCAAGCAGGGCUGCCUCUCUAGUGACCAAUCUCCGGAGCGCACAACCUGGGGGGAGCGACCCCACCAAGCGCAGACAGGCAAUGUGAGCGUGAUCAUCUCACGAGCAACAGCAACCUACCCUCUAAGGGUAAUCUCAUCAUGGAAUCAAGGUGUUCUUGUACCCAAUCUCAUAGUGUUUCAACUACACUAAGGUUCUCAUGUCAAGGUUAUCAACAAUCAUAUGCCACUCAUCAUAGUUUUCUAAACUAGAUGCCACUCGUCAUUUAGACUCAUUUCAACACUAGUUACAUCAUACUAGUUCUUUAGCAACAUAAGCAUUAAUCAUCUCACAUAGGGUCUAGGUCUUUAUUAUAGAGUUUUCAUCAUAUAAUCAUCAUGCAUACUAGAUCAUGGAUCAAUCAUCAAGAUGUAUAGCUACUAGCAUGCAAAUAUGAGCAAUGACCACAAUCAUUUAGCAUCUAAAUGCAAUGAAUACGAUAUGCAACUUAAUCGAUUAAUGCAUUCAACAAAGUUUAGAUUAAUGCAUUCAACAAAGUUUAAUCCACAUAAUCAUGCCCUUAUAGGGUUUCACCACACUAAGUCCCAAUCUCAUGCAUACUAGGUACAAGUAUUAAUCAAGUAACACUACACUCCCACUAGCAUGCCAUGACAUGUAACAAUUGCCAACUAGUACCCUAUAAUGCAAUAUCCCAAUAUGCAACUUGAUCAAUGUUAACUAGAGUUUCUAGUACAACAACCAAUCCAUUACUAGUUCAAGUCAUAUGUGUUUUUAGCACAAUAAGUUCAAUGCCACUUGUAAACUAUGUCUUUAAACACAACACUAGGUUCUUCUCUCAUUUAGCAUCAUAGGUUUACCAAUGUCAUCUCAUAAUCCUUAUGUCCAUUACAUCAUAUAUCCAUAUCAUAAUACUAUAUUGAUCAUAAACAUCAUAUAAGGAUUAGGAAUGCAUGUAUUGUCAUCCUAUAAUGCAUAGCAACAUACAAUAUGCUACAUGUGAACGGAUAAGCACUAAGACAUAGGAAGAAGCCCGAUGACUUCGGGAUGGCACUCCCCCACCUUUUAUCGCGUUCCGAUUGCUUGUCGUCACUUGCAAUCGGCCUCCCGCGGCGCACGCCGCUCGGCUUGACCCAAUCCGCGCGCGACCACCAAACGACCUCCGAUCCGCAAUCCGAAAAUUAAAGGUCUUCGGUUUCUUGGUACGAUGCUUCAAAUCCGUUUUCAGGAUUUUACGACGUCGCCUCGGCCCUCCAGGCGGAAACGAAGCCUAACGUCCGUUUCUUUAAUAACUUUGUACCGGCUCGACGAAUCGCCGAACCGUCGCUUCCAACGCGUUCGUAGACCUAGCAAUUAGGUAAACAGAGGGUUAAAAGAGAUCAAACCCAACAAUUUUGAAAGUUAGCAUUUUGAGCCCUAGGUUUACAACUAUGCAAGAAAUCAUUAAAUUGCUCUAUGAUUCAAGCAUUAACCAUCUAUUAGGCAUCAAUGGGUUCCACUAAAACCAUUUCCAAAGCAUUUAGACCUAUCUUUAGAGAUCUACCAUUAAAGCCCUCAUUUUGGAGCUCUAUGUUGCAAUAGGUAAAAAUCCACCAUUAGAACUUAGGAUCUAAGCAUAAAUCAUCUACUUAGCAUCUAGGAAAGCUACUAAUUCGUUUCUAGAGCUUAAAACCCAAGCAAUAGAGAAAUGCCAUUAAAGCUCUUAAAGCUUACCUUCAAAGCAUGCUCCAAUGGAGAGGAAGAAGAUGAAGUUGAUGAAGAUCAACUUCCAAGCUUACUUCUCCACCAAAUCCAUCCAUUUUGGGAGAGAUUUAGAGAGAGAAAAUGGAGGCUUCUCUUUCUCCCUCUUUCCAUGCGUGUGUGUGUGUGGCGUGUGCGUGUGUGGUGUGCGGCCGAAGGAGAAGAAGAAGCAUCAGCUUCUUCAUAAUACCCCUCAAACACUAUUCAUCCAGGCAACUUAAAAUCUGAUAACUUUCGCCGGAGCUCCCUGAAUGUCCGUUUGAGCUCAAACUUGACAGUCAUGUUCGGUUUUACUUAACUUAACAAGCUGACGAUCACUGGUUCAGUUUCGACCCCGUUUGGUCACUGAAAACUGUACCGAACUGCAAUCUUUAUCAGAUAGCUUUCGGAUUUUAUUUCUCACUCUACGGGUGUCAGAAAAAUAUGAAACCUUAAAUCUAGCCUCAUAAAAAUAUUUCUGACAUCUCUGCCAAUUUUCAUAAUUUUCUGAGACUGUGCAUUUUCUGCUAAUUUAUCUGUCCCGUUUCUCACAGAAAAUUCUAAAUCUUCUGUUUUCGCUCUGAUUUCAGCACAGGUCAUUCCCAACCUAUAUUUCACUUCUCUAAAUCCAAUAAAAAUAGUAUCUCAUACUAUUUUUAUUUAUUUUUAUUUUUAUAUUUAAAUCCGGUAUAUUACAUUACACCGCAACCUCACCGGAACCAUUCAAAUGGCUCUCCAACCAAAUGGACACCGUAACCUCAUGAUUUUAGAAGUCCGGUACCUUACAACCGGUCUCUCUCCGCAUAAUCGCGCUCGGGUUCCGGUCUCACCCGCUAGGGACCGGUUGCCUCAAGUUCUGCCGCAACACUAUUCUUAGGGGACCGGUCUCUCCUAUCAGGGACCAGUCCCCGAGAGUGAAAACUCGGAGAACUUGCCAAAACUCUAGAGAUCGAACUUUUAGGCCGGAAUACCAUCUACGACCUUCCACCAAAUGUGGAAAAGUUCGAAAUACAUAUCAAACACUCAAACCUCGCAAUUUGCAAAGGUCCAGUGUGCUACAGAAAUCCACCUAUCCCUAUGUUCAAUGCCGUAAUGUCAACUACACUAAAUUCUCAUGCAAUAAGCCACAACGAGGGAAACUCACCUAUUCCCUAUGCUCAAUGCCAUAAGUGUUUCUUUACACUAUGUUCAAAUGCCACUCACCUAGGUUUAAUCAACCAUAGGUUCAACACUUUUAUCACAUAACCUAGAUUUAACUAACUCUAGAUUCAAUCCUCAACUUAUGUUCCUCAACUAGGUUUAAUGUCAUUCUACCUAGGUCUAACUGACUCUAGGUUCAUUCUCAACCUAUGUUUCAAUGUCAAGCUAUGUUUAACAACACUAGGUUCAUAUGUCAUUCUUAUCCAUCCUAGGUUCACAACACUAGGUUCAUAUCCGACCUAUGUUCGAUAACACUAGGUUCGAUGCCACUCGAUCUAUUCGACACCUAAUUGUCCACAUCGAGUUUCUAUAAUUACAUAUUCUCUAGCAAUUGCCCACAAUACCAACAUGCAUCUCAUCUAACAUAACAACUAUAUGUUAAUAUGCAUGCUCUCUAUCAUGAUCUCAUGAUGCUACUAUGCACCUAGCAUAUAAUCCACAAUGCAUAUAUAUUCAACAUUAUGUCCCAAUACCUUUAUCAUCUUAGCAUAUUCUAUUUACAUGCCUUAACACGUUCAUGAUGCCAUCUUGCACCUAUUCCAAUCAAGCUAACAUGCAUAUAUAUUCAUCCAAGGUAGCUAUUACAUAGUAUCUCAUGCAUUCACCCUAAGCAUUCACCUAUGCAAUCAACUACUAUUACAUAUAUAUAUGCAUCAACAAGAAAGCACAUUUCUCUUCAACAUGCAGGCAACCUAGUCGCUUUGGUAAGUAUUAAGGAUUUUAUAGGUUGACGGAUUUCGUAGAGUUGAAUGGAGUCUUGAAGAGUUGAUCGCGGAAGUUUGAAGAAAAGAUUCAAAUUGAAGAAUAAAGACUCAUUCGGAAAGCUCGGCACUUCAGGUAUGAAGAAUAGAUGAUUUAUAGUGAAGAUGUUUAAUUAUAAUAAGUUCAGAAGGCUUAGAUUGCUUUAAAUCUCUUUUACUGAACUUUUAUGUGUUCUGGGACCGGUCCCUGAGUUGAAGAGACCGGUUCCCUUAAGGUCCUCACUGCGUGAAUGUUGAGGCAACCGGUCCCCUGAGAUGAGAGACCGGUUCCCAAACAUUGGUAGUUUUGUCACGCAGCGAGGGACCGGUCUCUGGCUUGAGAGACCGGUUCCCGAACGUUGUGAUUUUUGUCACGCAGCGAGGGACCGGUCUCUCACAGACCGGUCUCCUCGAGAGGACCGGUCUCUGGGGACGACACAUGUUUUUAAAAAUGACUUUUUGCAAUCCUAGUCUACUUCUAAGUUUUCUAAACAUAUAAAUAAGCUAUGGGGGUCAUCUUAAAGUUUAAGGCUUUGAAUUUUUACUCAUUCUAAACCCCAGAAACUUGGUUUUUCCGUUCUUAUGGUUCUAUUCUAAAUAACAAGUUUCUAAUAAUCAACAUCGACUUGAUUCUUUGUUUUUACUCGUGAUCUUAUACGAGAAUCAAGUAGAUGAUUGAUUAAAAGAUAGACCCUCAUCGCUUAUGGGAUUCUAAAGCUUAAUCACCACAAAUCUUCUAUUUUACAAGCUCCGGAAGGAGAUUCGGCGCGUGGAUCUCGCCUGUAGCCGAGGAUUCGGUGGACGCUUCAAGGAGUUGAGGCGUUGACGCUGCGAGGAGUUGCGGCGAGGUCGAUUGGAGGAUUCCUAUCGAUCGAGGACCGGCGAAGAUCACCAUCAACAGGAAAUCGGUAAAUUGAGUCGUGUAUUUUUGUCAAAAUCAGUUGUAUUCAAGUUUUCUUAGUGGAUUUUCUUCGUGUGGUCGGUCCCGUGGGUUUUUCACUCCGGCUUGGAGUUUUUCCACGUUAAAUUCUCAGUGUGCUGUUUUUUAUUUUCCGCUAUUCAUUUUAUUUGCAUCGAGAUUUUUGAGUUUGCCGUUUUUACACCUAUUCACCCCCCUCUAGGUGUUACUUACCUUUUAGAUUCUCGAGAUCCAUAUCUUACAAGUGGUAUCAGAGCAAGUAUAGGUUGUAAUUCAUGCCAGAGGGCGGUAACAUCAAUCGACCCCCUCUCUUCGAUGGCACUAAUUAUGCUUAUUGGAAAGUCCGUAUGAGGGCGUUUCUUAUUGCCAUCGAUGAGCGGGUAUGACAAGCCAUUGAAUUCGGGUGGAAACAUCCUACCGAAGUUGUCAAGAAAGUUACCGGUCCGAAACUGAGAAAUAAGUGGACGAAAGUGGAAAACGAAUUACCUUCGUUCAACGGAAAGGGUAUCAAUGCUUUAUUUAAUGCUUUAAAUCAAACUAAAUUUUCUUGUGUCUCGGCGUGUGAAACCGCUAAAAAAAUUUGGGACACUUUACAAGUUACGCACGAGGGUACAAGCUUGGUAAAGAUUCAAAAAUUGCAAAUGCUUACUAGUAGAUUUAAUUCUAUCCAUAUGGAAGAACAUAAAUCUUUUACCGAGUAUUAUACUCGUUUGCAAGACAUUGUAAACACGUGUGCUAACUUGUGCGAGAAAAUUCUCGACUCCAAAAUUGUUCGAAAAAUUUUGAGGACCCUUCCCGAAUGAUUUCGUCCUAAGGUUGCGGCUAUUGAAACGGUUAAACAUCCGGAUGAACUCAAGGUAGAAGAAUUAGUAGGUGCUCUUCAAACUUAUGAGAUGACUUUUCCUUCUAAUUCGUCUUCUUCCAAGUCUUCUUCUAAAGCUUCAGGGAUGGCUCUAAAAUCAACAAAAGGAGAUGUCACUUCAACUUCAUCGGACUCGGAGUCGGAGCAAACCCUAGAGGACUUUGAAAAGCAACUAGCACUUCUAACAAAGAAGUUUCGUCGGAACUUUAGAAAAAAGUUUCCUCCCAAGUCUACUUCUUCCAAGUCAAGUAAAUCUAAAGGGAGUUCAGUUCGUCUUCGUCUUCAUCAAAAUUCAGAAAAUUGGAAAACCCUCAAAAGGACUCUACUAAAGAGAAGAAAAGCAGUGAAGCCCAAAUUCAAUACUAUAAAUGUAGGGGUUUUGGCCAUAUUGCAUCGGACUGUCCAAAUAAAAAGUCUUUGAAGAAGAAAGCGAUGCAGGCUAUUACUUGGGAUGACUCCUCUUCUGACGAUUCAACUUCCAGUGAUGAGGAUGUCAAUGCCACGGCACUGAUAACACAGGAUUCAACCUUCAUGUGUUUGGCAUCUGCAGAUUCUCUCUCAAUGUCGUCUAUACAUGAAAAAUCUUCUUCGGAGAAAUCAUCGGAUGAAGAAUCGGACAAAGAUGACAUGGUCGCAGCAUAUCAUCAAUUGGUAAUCGAAUCAAAGAAGGUGGCAAAACAUAACAAGAGGCUGCGGCGGAGUCUACAUGAGUUGGAACAAGAAAAUUUGAGGUUGGUCUCAUUAUCAAAGGAUCUAGAACAAGAAAGAGAUGGUUUGACUGAGGCCUACAACUCUUUAUUUGAGAAGUGUUCGUUACUUGAAAAGGAAAAAGAGACUCAUGUUGAAAACAUCGAUUUUCUCACCAAGCAAUACUCGGAAGCUAGAGAAGCAAAUAUGGAAUUCACCAAGACAAUCAUUCAAUUAAAGUCGGAUUUGAACCAAUUUUCGUCUGGCUCGAGCAAACUUGACAAGAUGCUUGGACUUGGUCAAACAAAUAAACUUGGACUUGGGUACGAACGGACGUAUAUUGAUCAAGCAACGAAGAAAGAUGAUGAACAUUCGUCAAAAACAGUUCCUAAGCUUUAUGGUAAGUUCGUCCCUCCUAAAAACAAUUUGACUAACAAAACUUGUCAUAUUUGUGGUGUUUUAGGACACAUAAAGAAAUUUUGCAAACAAAAGGGAAAGAGCUCAACAACACCCUUGAACCAAAGAACAUCACCCAUGAAGAAUGAUCCUAUAUCAAAAGGGAAGUCAACUUGGACUCCAAAGAAGGUUGAUCAUAAGAAGAAACAAACAUGGACACCAAAUGCGCCGAAAUCAAAGGCAAAACAAGCAUGGAAACCAAAGAAGGAGGAUAUGAAGAAGAAGUCAAUUCAAAUCGUCGACAAGCCAACAUCAACAAAAGCAAGCAAACCGUCGCAACCCAAAACACGUAAGGUUUGGGUGCGCAAAGGUGAACUCUUCCCAUGCCUAGUCAUUCACACUUCGCUUCAUGCUUACGAUAAUACUUCAUGGUAUCUGGAUAGUGGUUGUUCCCGUCACAUGACCAGAGAUAAAAAUUGGUUUACUUCUUUGAACAAAAUCUCCGGAGGACUUGUUGUUUUUGGAGACGGUCGGUCGUCAAAAAUCGUUGGAAAAGGAACAGUGACUAUCUCAGAUGGCCCUACUUUGAAUGAUGUUUUCUAUGUUGAGGGGCUUAAAUCUAAUCUCGUAAGCAUAAACCAACUGUGUGAUGAUGGGUAUUCUGUGACUUUUUUCGAUAAAGAAUGUCAUGUGACUCGUGAUGACAAUCUGUUCUUGAAGGGCAUUAGAUCUCAGAAUAACUGUUAUGUAGUUCCUAAUUCUUCGACUGAACAUUGUAACCUAGCGUCAUUAGAGACUGAAACUUUAUGGCAUGAACGACUAGGUCACAUAAAUUUUAAGGAGCUAUCCAAGAUAACAAAGAAGGAGGUUGUUAGAGGUGUACCUAAGAUAGACUUCAAAGAGAACACUGUGUGUGGGGGUUGUCAAUUAGGGAAAAAAACUAGAUCCGCACAUAAGAAUUUGAACCACUUAGGGACAUCUAAGCCUUUAGAGUUAUUUCACAUGGACUUAAUAGGACCAUCUAGGAUCCAAAGUUUGGGUGGAAAACGAUAUAUCUUGCUUAUUGUUGAUGAUUUUACUCGUUUUGUAUGAAGUGCCUUCUUACGAGAAAAGCUGAUACUUUUGAUUCUUUUUCUUAAAUCUGUCUUCGUCUUAUGAUUGAAUGGAGUAAUAAAAUUGUACGUAUUCGAAGUGAUCAAGGGGGAGAAUUCAUAAAUUCAAAAUUUGUUGAUUUCUGUGUUUCAAAUGGCAUAAAACAUGAAUUCUCGGCUUCUUAUACACCCCAACAAAACGGAGUGGUUGAACACAAGAAUCGGGUUGUACAGGAGAUGGCUCGUGUUAUGCUUCAUAGUAAGAAAAUCGCUUUACACUUUUGGGCCGAAGCAGUUAACACGGCUGUCUAUGUUAUCAAUCGAAUUUAUGUGCGCCCGAGUACUUUGAAUACUCUGUAUGAACUUUGGCUUGGUAGGAAACCUAAUAUUAAAUACUUUCGUGUCUUCGGGAGUAAAUAUUUUAUCCUUCGGGAUCGUGAAAAUCUUGAAAAAUUUGACUCUCGAAGUGACGAAGGGAUUUUUCUUGGUUAUUCUACUACAAGUCGUGCUUAUCGUGCAUACAAUUUACGAUCUAAGACGGUGAUAGAAUCUAUCAAUAUAAAAGUAGAUGAAGCUUCUUCUGUAAGUUCUUCUGUGAAUGGUUCUUCUACUUCUUUGGUGAAUGAUGAUGAUAAUGAUUCUCCGUUUAUAUUGCCUGUGAAUGAUGAUGUUUCUGCACUUGACAAUUCUAUUGCAUCUUCUGAAAAUGUUGCAUCAAAUGAUUCAUCUGAGCCUCAAAGCACGUCAUCUGAAAUCCCUAGUAUAACUUCUGAGACUACACCCCUGACAGAGUCAAGAGAUCAUCCUUUAUCGAAUGUCAUUGGGGAUCCUAAUGUUGGUGUGCGAACAAGAAGUCAGCUAUAAUGUGAAUUUGCAUGUUAUGUUUCUCUGAUUGAGCCAAAGAAUAUUGACGAAGCUCUACGUGAUGAAUAUUGGAUAAAUGCCAUGCAAGAAAAACUUGGUAAAUUCGUUCGCAAUGAUGUAUGGGAAUUAGUGCCGCAUCCUGAGCAACAACACAUAAUAGGUACCAAAUGGAUCUUUAAGAAUAAGAAAAAUGAGGAUGGUACUAUUGUUCGGAACAAAGCGAGACUUGUUGCUCAGGGCUACUCGCAAAUUGAGGGAAUAGACUUUGAUGAAACCUUCGCCCCAGUUGCCCGUCUUGAAUCAAUUCGUAUUUUGUUCGCGAUUACUUGCCAUUUUAAAAUCACUUUUUUUCAAAUGGAUGUUAAAAGUGCAUUUCUAAACGGAUUUUUAAAAGAGGAAGUUUAUGUUGAACAACCGAAAGGUUUCAUAGACUCAAAAUUUUCAAAUCACGUUUUUCGACUGAAAAAGACACUUUAUGGACUAAAGCAGCCUCCGCGAGCAUGGUACGAGCGCUUGACAAAAUAUCUUUUGGAAAAGGGCUACAACCGAGGGGGAGCGGAUGGAACUCACUUUGUAAAACGCUUAAAGAAUGAUUUCAUUGUGGCACAAAUUUAUGUUGAUGACAUAGUCUUUGGGGCAACUAAAGAUAAGGAUGCCAAUGAUUUUGCAAAAUUGAUGACAAGCGAGUUUGAAAUGUCGAUGAUGGGGGAGCUUAAUUAUUUCCUUGGACUUCAAGUUAAACAAACUAAAGAUGGAAUUCACUUGUGUCAAUCCAAAUAUGCGAAAGAUUUGGUUAAGAAAUUUGAAUUGGACAGUGCAAAGAAUUUUGACACUCCGAUGGGUACAAGUAAGAAGGGACUUGGGGUGAAUUCGGAAGGAAAGAGCGUGGAUGAGAAACAAUACAGAAGCAUGAUUGGAAGCCUAUUGUACUUAAUUGCGAGCAGACCAGAUAUUGCUUUUAGUGUUGGAUCAAAAACGUUUUCUGCAUUUAAGAAAGGCUAUUGGUAUGAAUCCUUCAAUCUAGAUAUAUUCUAUUGGGCCAUAGAUCAUGUGCAUGUUAAAUUUUGUUUAUGUGCAUGGUUUCCGAUUAUGGUUGAGAGAUGAUUAAAUUUCUUGAAUAAUGUUGCUGUUUUUGGGAGAUGAUUUGGUCAGUGUUAGCUCAGUUGUUUGAUUUUAAUUGUUUCAUAUUUAGUUUUUGAUUGAUCACUGUCAAGGUUGUUCUCUAUUGUCAUAAUUUUUGAAUGAUCAAAUCAUUGAAAUUCUGUUUAGCAUACUGAAUCAAAUUCAACACCUCAUACUUCGAACUUUGAAUGUUGCAAUUGUUUGUUUGAUUAUUAGUUAUGAGAUGAAUAACUCUUUCUUUGUUUUUGAAAUUGCAAUAAUAUUUUUGACUUGAGGGUUGCACUAAUUUAGGGGGAGUCUUUCCGAUUUUGGAUAUGAAAGUUUCUGAAAUUCAAGAUGUGGAAAGAGUUACAUCCCUGCUGGGAGUGUGAAAACUACCACCACAUGGAGGAAAGAGUUACCACCCCGGUCGUCCGGUCAGUGUGUGCAGCUACCACAUGUUGAUUAAAGUAUCUCUAUAAGACAAAAGGAAAGUACCUUUCAGAGAAAAAAAAAAUUUUGCUCAAAGAGCUAUACAUCUCGUAGGUGAUAUAAGGUGGUAUAUUAUUUAAAAAAAAAAAAAAAGAAAGAAGAUGCUCAAAGAGCCACUCCUGUCUCGAAUAUUGUGCAUAACUCAAUUUGAACAUAUUAUUUUAAUUUCACGAUUCUGAGAAUUAUUUAUACAUUUUCUUUAACAAAUAUGAUGAUAGAACGAUACAAUUAAUUUCUAGAUCUUGCAUGAUGUGUAGAAUUUUAUUUUAUAUGUAUCUAGAAUUUUCAUUGAUUUUCGGGUCAACAAUUUUGACAAUUUGAAUAUCCUUGAAAUUGAUUUUUCAAAAUUUAUUUAUGAAAUUUUAUUUGAAGUUUUUGGGGAUGAAAAUUGGUUAUUUUUGUUGAUUGAACAUUGUGGAAUAACAUACAUUUUUGCUGAAAUUUUUGGAGCUUAAUUUAAAAUUUUUUAAAAAUUCUAGGCUCUGGGACCAGUCCCAGGCAGGAGAGACCGGUCCUUCCGCCCGACCCGAUAAAGGGGUUUUUGUUCGAUGUGUCUUGUACGCAUUUCAACCUUUUCCCUGCUUCUUCUCUUGCGUUUCUCUUGCCUCCAGAUUGGUUUUUUACUCACGUUCCUCGUGGAUUUGUACUGAUUUUAGGUAUGAUUUUCGAAUUUUGUUGCAUUUUUAUCAUAUACUCCGAAAAUGUGUUUUGUUUCAGAUUUUUUGGUGUUUCUUCUAAAGAUCUAGCUAAAUCUGCCUUAAUGUGCUUUGAUCUUGUUCUUAGACCUGUUGUUUCCAUAUUCUUUUGUAUUUCUUCAUCUUUUUGGUCAAUUCUUGUAGGUUUUUCAUCAUCAAAACCUAGUUUUUCUAAAAUUUUUGUGGACAAUUUGUUUUUGCUGAUUUUGAUGCAUGAUUUGUUUUGGUUUCUCAUGAAUAUGUGGCCCCUAGGAUUAUCUAGCAUUUAUAUAUCAAUUUGCUGAAAUUUUUUUUGGAAUCAAAAAUUAAGUGUUCUUAUGUUUCAUAUGUAAAAAUCCUUAUGUUUAACAGGGGAUUUCUUCAAAAUGUAUUCAUGGUUACUUGUGCUUGUGGUUCUGAUGGCCGGGGGUGGUCGCAGAAGCAAACGACAGCGCUCUUCGGGUAAACGGCCAAUUGAGCAACAACCGGAAGAUGAAGGGAGCGAAUAUGCUCCUGGCGACGAAUCUGAGGAGGACGAGCCGGACUGGGAGGCUUUUACUCCAGAGGUGUUGGCUAAGGAUAAGGAUGCAAGAAAAGGAAAGGACAAAGGAAAAGCCAUUGAUAAAGGGAAAGGCAAAGCCAUGGAUAAAGGAAAAGGAAAGGCAUCUGGAUAUACCGAUCGUCGAAAAUCUGGAGGUGUUGAGAUUAGAGAACCGGGUUCUGAGGCUCCGCGUCUCAGUCUGCAAGAUGUUCCGUUUGCUCGAAGGUCAAUGUACUCGUCGAAACAUUGUAUUGGUGAGCGCGAUGUUGGCGUUGCCAGUAUCAUUGACUGUAUGCCGGGAUUUCAGGAUUUAUUUGAAAAAAAAAAAAUCUUCAUCAGAUUUGUAAUUUUCCGGAACAAACUGGUUUCUGUUUGGAGCUAAUUAGAGAGCUCUAUAUGAGAGCAGGUCACUUGAGUGACUCAGACGGUGGUCCGUAUCUAUUUACUACUUUUGUCCGUGGGGUUGAGCUGUCGAUCACUCCCGAUACUAUAGCGUCUGUGCUAGGAAUGGAAGCAAGGACUGAAGGCGUGAAGUAUCUACAGGCCGGGUUUGACUCACUUCGGGAUUGGAACCGUGUCGUGAACUCUAUUUGCAUGCCGGGAACAGAGUCAAACGGAAUUAUGGUUUUAUCCAAGGAUUUCAAAAUGGAGUACAGGUUCUUGAACUUCGUGGUUUGCUACAACAUUUUGCCUCUCGCAAACACGAAGAUUUUGAGAUGGGAUCGCAUCUUGUACAUGUAUCUAUUGGCUAGGUCGGAUAUUGUAAGUGCGAAAAAUAUCAACAUGAAUAUCCCAUUUUUGAUCUUGCGGAGAAUGGCAAAGGAUAUCAAAACUUCAGGACAGAAUGAAAGAUUGCCAUUUCCACUGAUUAUCAUGCGAAUUCUGCGACUCCAUGAGGUGGAUGUUCGUUGUACAUCCUAUGAGCAUAGCUUGGGAAGGAUCAAUGAAAGGACGUUCGUGAAGUCCUCUGUGCAGCUUCGAACUCCGUCCCAGCGUGCUUCUUCACCUCCUGCUGCUCCACCUCCUGCUGCUCCUACUUCUUCCCGUCCUUCCAUGGAUAUUUCUGAGGAGGAUGUCUCGGUAUCGCUAGUAUAUCGUGAGCAACAGAGGUUAUCUGAAGAGCUUCAAAAGCUUUCUGUGAUCAAGCUCAGAUACGGAAAGAUGUGAGCAAAAUCAAGCGACUGAUGAAGGCUAUCUUUGACAAAUUAGGAUGUUGCAGCUCAGAUAUUCCUCCAUAGGGUGACGAAUCUGACUGACUGUGUGGGGUUCCUCCUUUUGUCAUUUUGGCGCUUUCUGACAAAAAGGGGGAGAUGAUAUGUUGGCUCAUGAUGAUGAUGAUGUCUGAUGAUGAUGAUGCUAUGAUGAUGUCUGAUGAUGAUGAUGCUUUUAGAUGAUGAUGAUGUUUUUUUUUUAUGCUUUUAGCUUAGUUGUGUAAAUUUAGAUUAGAUGGUUGCUUGGAUGAACUAUGAACUAUGACUUGUUGCUUUGAUUGCUUUGACGUUUAUGUUUGAUCUUUUAUGAUAAGUUUGCUUGAAUCUUGAUUGUGUUUUAAGAAUGUUUUUGCAGUAAUUGUUCAAGACUUCAAGACUCCAUGUCUAAGUCAUAGAGUAUGUAUUAAGGUUGUGAAAAAUAUAAUUUUCGUUUAUUGGAUCGAUCAUACAGGAGAUUAUCGUUUCGUGAUUGCGAUGAUCUUCUUUUUAUUGUUUCUAAGUUGUGUACGAGCUUUGUAGUAUAUUUUGUCACGAAAUCGCCAAAGGGGGAGAUUGUUAAGGAUUUUAUAGGUUGGCGGAUUUCGUAGAGUUGAAUGGAGUCUUGAAGAGUUGAUCGCGGAAGUUUGAAGAAAAGAUUCAAAUUGAAGAACAAAGACUCAUUCGGAAAGCUCGGCACUUCAGGUAUGAAGAAUAGAUGAUUUAUGGUGAAGAUGUUUAAUUGUAAUAAGUUCAGAAGGCUUAGAUUGCUUUAAAUCUCUUUUACUGAACUUUUAUGUGUUCUGGGACCGGUCCCUGAGUUGAAGAGACCGGUUCCCUUAAGGUCCUCACUACGUGAAUGUUGAGGCAACCGGUCCCCUGAGAUGAGAGACUGGUUCCCGAACAUUGGUAGUUCUGUCACGCAGCGAGGGACCGGUCUCUGACUUUAGAGACCGGUUCUCGAACGUUAUGAUUUUUGUCACGCAGCGAGGGACCGGUCUCUCACUUGUGAGACCGGUCUCUUACAGACCGGUCUCCUCGAGAGGACCGGUCUCUGAGGACGACACAUGUUUUUAAAAAGGACUUUUUGCAAUCCUAGUCUACUUCUAAGUCUUCUAACCAUAUAAAUAAGCUAUGGGGGUCAUCUUAAAGUUUAAGGCUUUGAAUUUUUACUCAUUCUAAACCCUAGAAACUUAUUUUUCCCGUUCUUAUGGUUCUAUUCUAAAUAACAAGUUUCUAAUAAUCAACAUCGACUUGAUUCUUUGUUUUUACUCGUGAUCUUAUACGAGAAUCAAGUAGAUGAUUGAUUAAAAGAUAGACCCUCAUCGCUUAUAGGAUUCUAAAGCUUAAUCACCACAAAUCUUCGAUUCUACAAGCUCCGGAAGGAGAUUCGGCGCGUGAAUCUCACGUGUAGCCGAGGAUUCGGUGGACGCUUCGAGGAGUUGAGGCGUUGACGCUGCGAGGAGUUGCGGCGAGGUCGAUUGGAGGAUUCCUAUCGAUCGAGGACCGGCGAAGAUCACCAUCAACAGGAAAUCGAUAAAUUGAGUCGUAUAUUUUUGUCAAAAUCACUUGUACUCAAGUUUUCUUAGUGGAUUUUCUUCGUGUGGUCGAUCCCGUGAGUUUUUCACUCCGGCUUGGAGUUUUUCCACGUUAAAUUCUCGGUGUGCUGUUUUUUAUUUUCCACUAUUUCGUUUUAUUUGCAUCGAGAUUUUUGAGUUUGCCGUUUUUACACAUAUUCACCCCCCUCUAAGUGUUACUUACCUUUUAGAUCCUCGAGAUCCAUAUCUUACAGUAAGCACAACCCACCUCGAUUCGCUCUCCGAUUGCUUGUCGACACUUGCAAUCGCCCUCCUACGGCACCCGAUACCUGGUUUGGCCUGAUCUUGCAGUUGCGCACCAACUGUGCGUCGAAUCGCGACUCCGAAAAUUAUAGGUCUACGGUUUACCGCCACGGUGAUCCAAAUCCGUUUUCACGAUUUUUGGACGUCGCAUCGACCCUCGAGGGGGAAACGAAGCUAAAUCGUCAGUUUCUUCAAUAUCUUUACAACGGCUCGACGAAUCAUCGAACCAACUUCGCCAACGCGUUCGUGUGCCUAGCAAUUAGGUUAACAGAGGGUCAAUUGAGAUCAAACCCUACUAUUUCUCAAAACUCCGUUUCGGAGCCCUAGAUGCCAUUAUUGCUAAAUACCCCAAAUCAAUCCAAGAUUUAGACAAUAAUCAUCUCAUUAGCAUCCUAGGAUUCCAAAAAUAUCAUUUCUAGAGAUCAAAUCCCAUAUUCUAGAGUUCUACCACUAAUGAGUAUCAAAGCUUACCUCAACUAAGCUUCUUCUCCAAGCAGAGGAAAAAGAAGAUGAUAGCAACCCUUCUUUAAGCUCCAAUCUCCACCCUUCUCCUCGUCUUGAUCCACCCCUUAGAGAGAGAAAGAGAGCUUAGAGAGAGAGAGAGGGGGAGUGUUUUUGGAUUUGCAAGGUGAGAGGGAGAGAGCAAAUGAGCUCUCUAUAGCUCAUAUACACUCACAUAAUACGCAAAAGUGCAAAUAAGUCCCUCAACUUUCAUUUUAGUGCACUGCCCCCGCGGGGCCAUUUUUUGUAUAAGGGAUCGGUCCCUGGACUUGAAGGACCAGUCCCCAUAGGUCCAGAAUUCCAACAUUUUUAGGACUUAGCCAAAUUUCAGCCUUUUUCGUUUCUUCUCCGUUUUCGCUCAUUUUCGCUCGUUUGGCCUCCGAUUCUUUUCAAAUCGAACCGAGACUCUCCAAACAUGUUUUCGAGUGUAUUUUCAUCAUCUUUUCAUUCGCGCUAAUACCGGAUUUAGUCCAUGGUCCAACGUAGCCUUUCGGGUCCCGUUUUCGCGCCUGCGCGCUCCGAAAACGCCCGAAUACUCCCGAACUUCACCAAACUUCACCGAAACUAUUCAAAUGGCUUUCCAACCAAAUGUAUACCAUAACUUCAUAAUUUUAGAAGUCCGGUACCUUACAUGUCCCCUCCCAGAGGGACCGGUCCUUGAGAGCACAAAACUUGCAAUUUGUGCAGAUUUUGCACAACUUGCUCUCGCGGGUCCUCCUCAAUGCACUUUAUGCAUUUUUGAUGACUUCGGCUUUUCCGAAGCACACCAAGUCGACAACAAGUCGAUUCUAAACGAAGUCUAACUCUCGGAUUUCGAGAAUUCACUUCCUUACAGAUACCUUCCUUAUGCAAUCGGUAUGUGAAUUCUGUUCCUGUUUGGAACCUCUUGAAUUGUACUGUUUGCGAUGCCUUGGACGUACAAGAGAGAAUCUGUCCAUUCGGCGAUCUGUCGACGCACCCGAAUCCGACCAAAGAGGCGGGUCUCGAUGCGUGACAUCACUUUACAAUAGUAGCUUCCUUGGUGAUUAUCGGUGGAUGUUAUUCAUUGUUAUCUUACCCGAUUUACUUGUUACUAUUACUGUUUACCCCUCCAUCUGUUGGUGGCUACAGCUUGCCUUCGUCGACUUGCGAUACCCACUGGGAUGGGGAGACUUGUUUAGAUGUUCUCACCCCUACCUUUUUCAAGUGAUGCGGAUGGGAUUGUUUGGGACAUAGCGUGAGGCAGUAGCUAGUGAACGGUUAUAGAGGUCUCGAUCUACGGUAUACCUUUUUGAUUACUUCAUACAUAGUAUCAGAUAGAUAUUAGUGGAUAGUAUAUAUCUUACCCUACACUGGUUAUUAUAUAUCUUCUUGUGGUUUAGUUGAUGGUUUACACUUGUGGUUUUGGAUGAUGUAUGUAUGAGUUUUGGAUACUCAUGGUUUUGGAAUACUCAUGGUUUUUGGAUACUAAUGGCUUUGGAUUCGGAUUUCGGAAUGUAGUUUUCUACCCCUCGUGGUAGUGUUUUCAAAACAAAGAUUUUCGUGUGGAAAACGGUUUUCAAAAUAGUUUUUUGUGGUUUUUGCAAAGUUAAAAUUUCAAAAAAAAAUGUCUUCGUGUGGGAGACACUUUUAACUACUAGGAUGAUUGUGGAAUGGAUGUGACUAAGGACAGCUAGCUGUAUGUUGAAAUGAGUUGAUCCUUGUACAUCCUUUUGUUUUAUGUGUGAAUGAAGAUCUAGUUGUUCAAUUGUACUAUGUGCUGCGCCGUGCAAAUAUAGGGGAGACUCUAUCUAUUUGUUUCAGGAAUUUUCUACAUUUGUGGUGGGUCUGUUGCACGUCUUUGGGGUCAAGGUUUCAAAAAAAAAGGGGGCAAUUUUCUGCUUACUUUGAUUUUUAAAGAUAUUCCGAUUUCAAAUUAGCUUUCAAAAAAGACUCCGGGCCGUGACAACAAUACAUUCAUUGGUGUGACGAUUUAGCUAGCCUGGGUUAGGAUCGAUGUUAGUCGAUGAAAGUGCUAGUGAGUAUAUUAAAGGCAUUGGUGGGUGUGGUGUAAACUUAGGGCAUGCUUGGUUCAUGAUUGGAAUAGGAAUGUGAAAUGAAAUUGGAUUGCUUUGAAAUAGAAAAUAGAAUGACAAAUCAUUCAAAAAUAUUUGGUUCAUUAUUGGAAUGAAUAUCGGAAUGAAAAUUUAGAAUUUUUGAAUCGGGAUUUUAAUUAAGAAAUAGAAAAGUAAUAAAAAGAGAGGAGGUGUUGAUGAAGGAAGAUUUUAAGUAGUUUACUUUAAAAUGGGCCAAUCCGAGAUUCAAAGCCGGAUUGGGCCAUAAAUAGAUUUGGUCAUUCCCAUUCCAGAGUGGAAUGGGAUUCGGAAUCCGAUUCCUAUAAAACAAACAACAAUCGGAAUUAAUAAAUCCCAUUCCGAUUCCAUAGUCUAAAAUAGGUGAACCAAACAUGCCCUUAUAUCAUUGGUAAGACAUAGUGUCGAACGAUUUUAUAUUAAGGAUGAUUAGGUGGCAAAUGGUGUCUAUUAAUUGUGUCAAGGAGAAUGGUUGUCAGUGGAGGUGUUAGUUAGGAUAGUAAAUUAAGCACAGGUGAGCAUAGUGUGAACUUUUGUUAAUAAGGUAUAGAAUCAACACGGACGGUGUACGUAGGUGGCAAAUGGUAUUUGUUGGCAGCACAUAUAUAUAUAUAUAUAUAUAUAUAUAUAGCUAAGUAUCAUCAUCGAUUCUGCAUAAUGCUACAAAUAAUAAACUAUAGGUGGGUGCAAAUGAUAAUUAUGCAGAGAGGUCGUGUUUCGUAAUUGAUGAAGAAAAGUUAAUCUGUUAACAUAUUUUAUGAAGGAUGAUGAAUAUAUAUGCUAAUAAUAUAUUGAUAUGAUUAUUAUAUAUAUAGCUGGCAUUGCUAUUAUUCAGUAUUGAGUAUGUAUCAAUAUGGACAUUAAUCCGUACUCAAUUAAUUUGUAUUUCUUCCACUUCAUGUGCGUACGUAGCACUUCUAGCUAGAUGAGACUUCUAUCUAUGCGUCUACUGUCCAUCCAAUUAUGAGAUAUCGUGGUAUUGUAUGGUCUUCAUACGUUUUAUUGGAUAAAAUAUCUAAGAAAUAUUUCAGAAAAAAAAAAAGCUACGUCGUAAGACAUCAUAUAUAUAUAUAUAUAUAUAUAUAUAUAUAUGAUUUUGAAGAGUGAAUGAGCAUCCAUCGACACAACCCACUUCGCUGCUGCCGCUGCGGGGAAUGAGUGAGUAAGCGUAAUAGAUGGGAACGGAUUUUAUGCUACCCCCUAGAAAAGGGAAGGGAGCUCACGACAUCCACACAAACCCGUAGGUGGGAAAGAAGAGGCGGGGUGAUCAUUUGGAAUGGAGUAAAAAAAUAAUAAUAAUAAUAAUAAUAAUUACUGACUUAUAGAUCGUUUUCAUCAAUAAGAAAAAAAAAAAGAAAAAAAAAGAAGGAAGCAGACAAUAGCAGGGACAAACAAUAAGAAGACACAGGAGAAGCGGAACAAUUUGGAAUGGCGCGAUCGACCGUAAUUGGGUCCUUCUGUUUAAUCGGAUUCGCCGGCCUGUGACUCUUCAUCAAUUUUCUAUUCAAUUUGUCUAACCAAGUGUAGAGAAUGGUACGUAUUUUUUUCUUUUCCCUUUGGCAAUUAAUUUCCUUCUUACAUUUUUAUCACUUCAAUAAAUUACUUUUGUUACUUCAAUAAUUACGUACUCCUUGUGAAGGUUUUUAGUUUCAGUUAGAAAUUCACAAGGUUAAACUACACAAACCCCUUGGUAGUUUAACUUAUGUCUUAAUCACCCUACAUAAAGAGAAAAUUAUGUCAAUUUCUCAAAUAGGCCCAUGAAAUGUGAGAAGAUUGUUUAAUUUAAUUACAAAAAAAUUUCAUGAAGGCAAGUCCGUGUUGGAAUAUUAAAUAAAAGUCUAAUGAACUACUAAUUUUAGUGAUCGUAGUGGAAAAAAAAAAAGAAGAAGAGAUCAAUUAUUAUUAUUUAGAUGUAGAUCCAUUGUUUUAGUUGCAACCUAGAUAUUCAGAAAAGGAAGUAACAUAAUACUCCAAAUCAUUAAUUCCAAUUGAAUCUUGCAACCAAAUUCAUUAAUCAUUCGAAAUUUUUAUUGACUUGGUUAAGGUAUUAUUAACAAGUACAAAAUGAAAUUAAUAUAAGCAUUUAAUACAAGGAGACAAGUGUAGCAAAGGCCAAAGUGUAGGGAUGGUCUUCACAAUUUAACCCAAAUUUAAAUAGCAAAAGAUAUAAUUCGUUGGAUGAUGACGAGGAAAUUAACAUUGUUGUAACUCACUUUGAAUUACAUAAUGGUAUAUAUUUAGACCUAAUUGCUCUAUGUUUUGAGGGGUAAAAACAAUGAUACUUUCUUUUUUUUUUCAUGCUGCUGCACAUACUAUUAGCGCCACUUUUGUUUUUCCUAUGGUGGAAUCAUAACGUUGGAUCUUUAUGCCGUGAUCUGUUGUGCAAGAUGUCCUAUGAAAUCUUCUUAUUCAAGGGUUUUAAUUUCUAAUACAAUGAUUUUGCUAAUGAUUGUUGUAAGAGACUACGUACCUUUUAGCCACAUUUGGAUCCAUGGUAUUCUUCAAAUGUGCAUGUGUUAACAUAUUUGUAGCCGGAUCAAAAUCUGAAUUCUUUAGGAAAUUAAUAUGCGAGUUUGAAAUGUACUUUACUUUUUCCUUUUUUAAGUUCACGUGCAAUUUAUGAAUAGUUUCAAUAUUUUUCAAGGGAAGAAAUAGCUAUAAGGAUUUUUAUUGAAUCUCUUACCUCUGCUCUAAUGAUCCAAAAUAAGAUCAUUCAAAGAAAUAUUGACUCCACUGAUCCUAAUGCAGAUUGCCGACACAUUCUGAAAAAAGAUGCAGUUCCAAAAUGUACAGGACUUACCUAUUUAGAAGGCAAAGAUUAAAUGUGUAUAACCUUUAACCUAGGAGUCCAACUACUAUCCUUUUAGGAGGACGGAGGUAGGGGUGGCAAUCCAGCUCGCUGUUCGCGAGCCAGCUCGUGUUCGGCUCGAAAUGAGCUCGANGAGAUCGAAUCGCUCGUUUAGUAAACGAGCAGAGCACGAGCUAAAAUUUUCAACUCGUUUAAUAAACGAGCCGAACAUGAGCUGGGGUCAGCUCGCUCGUGUUCGGCUCGAUAACAACUCGAAUACAUAUAUUUUAUAUUUAUAUAUAUAAAUUAAUAAUUAUAUAUGUAUAUAAUAUAAAUUUUUAUUACUCGAUUUUUAGCCCAACCUAAAUAUAAAGCCCAACUCAAUUAUAAAAUAAUUCAUUUAUAUGUAAAAUUUUGAUCAUUAGAUCAAAAUAUCACGGAUAAGAUCUUAUAAAUUUAUUUCCUAUAUAUAUUUUCUCUAAUCCUUUUAAUUUUUUAUUCAUAAGCUAACUCAUAUUUGGCUCAUGUUUAGCUCGUUAAUAAACGAGCCAAAAACGAGCCGAAAUUUUUGGCUCGUUUAUGAAACGAGCCGGCCCCAGUUCGCUCGUGUUCGGCUCGUUGACACCCCUAGAUGGAGGUCUUCGUCCUACUAAGCCAUUUUAGAUUAUAGGAAUUCCGAAUCGAUGAUCGGAACCGUUAAAAUUUAUCUAAAGUAUCGUAGCUAUGCCCGCAAGCUUUCGGGUGCCCGGACCAAUGUCUGAAUCCCCUAGUGAGUCACCUGUUCACUGCUUGCUGCUCAUUGUCCCAUCAAUAUUUGAAUUGCUAUAGUAACUUCGGGGAGUCCAAUACAAUGUGACCGGUGACUCAUUUUUCUAGGCUCAGCUAAGUCAAUAUCAAGCAUUUGGAAUCACAAUCUGGAUCCUCCUGCUCCUCUACUCGCCACUUCCGGUGCCUUAAACCCAUUUCGGGCAUCCGAAAAGUCAGGCAUCUGAAAAGUCUCUGAAACUCAGUUUCAGUUGAGUUUAAUCUCAGAGUUCAUUUUCGCAUUCAUUUCGCAACAAACGCAAAAGCUACUAUGGACGACAAUAACAAGCAACUAGCAGAGAGUGAAUUACAUUUGUUUAUGCAUCAUGACUAUUCUUAUAACAAAGUCCAAAUUGACCCCAUUACCAUUUUGUCGUCCCAAGGAUCAACUCAACUCAUUUCUGUGGAAAUAGCCAGGAUUGAUUACCCAGAUGCAAUGCCGUGGACAAAAAUAGGGCUAGCUACCCGGUUGCCAAUAUUUUGUGGAUAGAGCUAAAACUGGUAUCAAGUUGCCACUUUGUGGACGAAGUUGGGACUGCCUACCUAGUUGUUACCUCGUGGACAAAGUUGGGAUUGACCACCCAGUUUCUAUAUUGACGCCCCAUUCCCGAAGGGACCUCAAGGACAUGACCACCCAAGGUGUUUCCAACAUCACGCUUUGCAACUGAAGGGCACACACUUGUGAUUGAACUCUCUUUAGGCUCUAGCCAAACAUGUUACUACUAUUCUAGGUCCAUAUGUUAUUGCAAGUGCAUUCAAGUUCAUUUAGUGUCUGUGCCAUGAUAUUGGAGUGGCAACAAAGAAUCACACAACAUGUGUCCACUAGGCAUGUUUCUACUAAGGUCUAUCGUGACCAAAUAUACAUUAAUUACUAUAUGUGUCAACAACACAUAUACAUCAAAGUUCUUCUAGUAUGCGUUACAUGACAAUAAUGUCCAUAACACAUGAACCAUAUCUAGCCAUGCAACUACUUGCACGUACCGCUAGUGGAUGCACAUAUCAUGAACAUUUCAUAUGCGUGUGUAAACAUUAGCUAGCCUAUGAUGCUUGACUAUCAUAUGGAUCUCAUGAACAAUUAAUGAGUCAAGAGAAGGGGGUUAAAAAGAUUGAACCAUCUCCAGGUAUCAUUAUACCCACUUUGUAUUAAGCAUCCACCUCGGUUAGCUCACUCCUUGAUCACGAUGCGAUCCCAGCUUCCCAAUCCUCGCUCAAGCCAAAAGAUAGCAUAAACAAGUCAUAUACUAAGGUAGGAUGCACUUCCAAUCCAAAAAGAAUUCAUAAAAUCCUAUACUAAAGUUUAUGGAAUGUAAGGUUCCUCACAGGUUCCUUACAGGUUUCAAGACAUGAAUUUAGGUUCUACAAAAACAACUAAUUUCACAUAGUUUUUGUCACGCCCCGUGACCCGCCUAUUUGGUCGGAUUCGGGUCGUCAACAGACCGCCGAACGGACAGAGUUUCCCCUAUACGUCCUAGGCAUCGCAAACAGUACAAUACAAGAGGUUCCAAACAGGAACAGUAUUCAUACAACGAUUGCAUAAUGAAGAUAUCAAACAAUAUAAACAACUAAACUAUUACAAGCAUUCACAUCACAUGCUUUCUUUUUACAUAUUACAUUUCCUUUUUCUUUUCUUCCAAAUACAACCAAGAUUAUUACAAUAUUGUUUUACAUCUUUUCUACAACCCCUAGCUAAGCCGACUUGGGGUAAUGCUAUUUUUGGUCUCGGUGGUAGGGUGCUAUCUACGGAGCUACGCCCUUUCCUUGCAUCGCCGCGCCGCUCACGUGUGAAACCUGUACCCCCAAAAACAACACGGGGGUUAGAACUAUUAUCCAUAGUUCCCAGUGGGUACGGCCACCCAACAGAAAAGCUCGACCCACCAGGUCCGAAGGAAGCACUGCAACAUAUUAGUCCAACAAAUAUCCAAUAUAUAUAUAUAUGCAAGUACUAAAAUACAUGUUAUGCCUCUCAACAUGCAACAAUGAAAUCAUGCAACUAUGCAAAUCAACAUGCAAUAAGCUAAGUAGAUCGACUGAUUCUACUUUCAAUCCUGCUAUUCAUAGCUCAUCUAAUUGACAUCUAAGGUUUUCUCUAUCUUAGAUUCAUGUCAUUUACAAUUCUACUCAUAAGGUUCUAUUUACCUUUAUCAAGCUAUCCACUUAACUCGGUCUUAAAUCAAUCAUCCGCGGAAUACCGUGCAAAACCAGGCUCAAGGUGAAGGACAUCUCACUUGCACCUUAGCCUUAAGUCCACUCAACUGGGAUGCCAACUAGGAUGCCAAUCCACUCUGCUGGGAUUCAUCAAUAGCUUACAAGAAUGUCAUCCAAUCUCACUGGCUAACCAAAAGGUUAAACCCCGACUCACUUUGAAAAUCUCAUAGGUGAGAAGAAGCUGCACUCGCACACCGAGACCGUCUGUGGAACAACUACAUCUGCCCCGGGGCAACUACGUCUGCCUCCAUCGUGAAGUACUCCGGAGGCCACUACUUGGGUGGAGCGACCACGCCAAGUAAAAAACAGACUAAGUGAGUAUGAUCCAAUCCUCUCACUCGAGGAUACCCUGUCUACUAGGUUUAACAACGACGCGGGAAAUCUACUAAUCCUUACAAUAAUGUGGGAAAUCUACUAAUCCUUACAAUAAUGUCACAAGUAUCUCUACUACACUAGUUUCACAUGGUACAUAUCCACCACUCGGGAAAUCAUCUAUCCCUAUGUUCAUGUCAUAGUGUCUCUACUACACUAGUCCAAAUGCUACUCGAUCUACUUGACAAUCUACUAGUCCAUAUCGAGUAUCAUAGUUUUCACAUGUCCUUGUUUUUCAACGUCGAAUUCUCUAAUCAACCUAGAGUUAUCGACCCAAGUUCAACAUGCAUAUGUCAAUUAACAUAAUCCUCUAUAUGUCAAUGUGCAUUCCAUCUAGUAAUCCUACAAUAUGUCAUCAUGCACAUAUACCAACUAGCAUCUCAUGAUAUGUCAACAUGCACAUAUACAUCAUCUAGCAUAAUCCAAAAUAUGCCAACAUGCAUUACAUCUAGCAUUUCUACAAUAUGUCAACAUACAUAUGUUUGUCAUCCAAUGGUAGUCAAGCAUCUCGCGCAUUCAUAUAGCAUCAUUUUCAUGCAUUUAUCUAUCAUUCAUUUCAUGCAUUCAUCUAGCAUUUAUUUUCCAUGCAUUCAUCUAGCCAUUAAUUCACUAUAUGCAUCAAUAAUAAACAUCACUUCGCUUCGACAUGGAAGCGAACUAAACAUUUCGGUGAGCACAAUCCACCUCGCAACGCUUUCCGAUUGCUUGUCGACACUUGCAAUCGGCCUACCGUAGCAUACAAUAUCCGAUUCGGCUCGAUCUUGCAAACAAUCACCAACCGUGCGUCAAUCCGCGGAGUCGGGUUUUAAAGGGCUUCAUCUAGAUGCCACGAUGCUACAAAUCCGAUUUUGCUAUUUUUGGAUGUCGCCUCAGCCCUCCAGGCGGAAACGAAGCUUAACGGUCCUUUUUCCCAAUAUCUUCACAUAGCCUCGAUGGAUUGCCGAACCGUCUUCGCUAACACGUCAGAAUACCUAGCAAUUGGGUUUAUAUAGGUCCAAUUUAGAUCAAAUAUAUUUACAAAACCCACAUCUCUAACCCUAACAUGAAAACAACCUCAAAAUAAUUCGAAAUUAAAUGGAGCAUCAUACUAGAAAUACUAUAGAGACCAUUAGAACACUACACAUCAAGGAUUAAACCAAAUCCUAAACACUUACCGAAAUUGCGAAUGCCGAGUCGAAAGCACGCCGCUCUACCGGACGCACGAAGACUCGAACCGUUGCUUCCAACGCGUUGACUAGCUCGCUCUCCGCCAACGCCACGAAUUUGAGAGAGAGAUCUAGAGAGACGAGAGAGAUAUUUAGAGAGAGAAAGGGAGGGUUUCUCUCUCCCUCCAUAUGUGCGUGUGUAUGUGCUAUGGGUGUGUGUUCGGUUGAAGGAGAAGAAGAAGGCAAAUGCUUCUUUUAUAAUUAACACUCUCAAAACACUAUUCAUACUAGCAGUUUAGCAGCUCAGGAUCAGAUACCUUUCGCCGCCCCUUCUGAAUGUCCGUUCAUGCUCAAAUUUGACAGUCAGGCUCGGUUUUUGCUAAAUAAAUGGAAUAUAUCUUAACUUUUUAGUUUUAACCAUUUUGGUUACCGAAAGCUCUACCGACAAAAAGUCUCUAGCAGAUAGCAGUCGGAUUUUAUUUUUCACCUUCCGGGUGUCAGAAUGACAUGAAACUUUAAAUCUAACCUCAUAAAAAUAAUCUUGACAUAUUCCCAGAUUUUCAUAAUUUUCUGACACUGUGAAUUUUCUGCUAAAAAUACCAGUCCCGUCUCUUACAAAAAAUUCUAAAUCUCCUGUUUUUAUUCCGAUUUCAGCACGAGUCAUUCCAAACUUACAUUUUACUUCUUUAAGUCCAAUGAAAAUAGUAUAUUCCACUAUUUUUAUUUACACUUAAUUUUAUAUUACAAUCUGGUACAUUACAGUUUUAAUUAUCAAUAUCCGAAAUGUGAUUUUUAGGUUCCAAAAUGUGACCACCGAACUUCAUAUAUCUAGCUGAAGUUGAAUAUUGUAGAAUUGAUUUCAGAACUUCAAUAAAUAGCAUCUAAAGCUUAAGAUUUUCCAAGAAUCUAUAGGGUUUAUAGAAAUCUUUGAUAAAAUCCCAAAGAUUGCACAUCUUAACCCUAAAUCUCUAAAAGCGGCCAAUUAAUCUACAUGAACCCAACUUAGAUACCCUAUUUGGGUUUCCCAAAGUCCAAAAGGACUAAAUGUUCAAGAAACUCAUGCUACAAUGCCACAAAAUUAAGUAUGGGGAUAGAGGGGUACCUAUUCUUUGAUGAUCAAAGAUGAGAAGCCCAUAAAAGAUAUGAAAAAUGUCUUUAUGAGCUCUAUACAUCGAAAUCAGCCAAAGCAACCAAGUAAGAAGUACUCGUUGGCUAAGAAAAUCAUCUUAGAAAGUGAUCGGCAUCAUAUGACUGCAAAUAAGAGGCAAAUAAGAGGCACAGUAGAGUAGAGAAGUAUAGUGAGUGAGUGAGAGAGAGAGAGAGAGAGAGAGAGAGAGAGAGAGAGAGAGAGAGAAGGUAGAGAUGCUUCAAAGAGAAGAAAUGGGAAGAAAUGGGGGAUUAGGGCUUCAUAGUUUCCCAUAUAUAGGAGUGUACAUUUGCUCAUAAGUCCCCCAUUUUUCAACAAAUUGAUCCUACACGUAGAUGAAAAUGCACACUUAGGAAUUUAGGUUUCCGAAUGUGCUCUCCAAGCUCCAUAACACAACUUAGUUUCGGAAUCUCAAAAUAGGUUACACAGAAAUAGAGGUUGCCUACUAUUGGGCUGCCCAAGUUUCGAAACAUGACAAAAGGGUUCCGAAACCAUUAAGGCAUUUUUUAUACUCUUUUGAAACUCUUGUUUUCGGUUUGUUUUUACCCCAACUAAUUAUAACGCAUCAUUUACUUCUCAAAAGCCUCCCUAACCCUAUCUUAUAGUAUUUUGGUUUCACUUUGCCUAUAUAACUAAAGUUUAAUGCACUACAUUAACAAUCCAUGUUCUUGUUUUUUCCCAACUCGGCCCGCACAGCUCCUCAUUGUGCAGGUUCUGGAAUCCACAUUUUCAUUUCCGAAACUAAGUUAGGUUCCGGAACCUAUAUACAGGUUCUGCAGAUCCUAAAUCUCUUUACCAUAUUACUCAAUUUCUAAGUUUCAUGUUCUGAAAGCUAAAACCUCAAGCUAAAGUUUCCUUUUUCUUAACUUAGUCUCUUCUUUUCGCUUCCCUUUAAGAAAUUUUUGGGUAUUACAAGAUCCAUGCACAAUAGGGAGCCACCUCCUUGUCACUUGAUCCAAGGGUCAAAAAGUUGAUAAUAGCAACUUGAUUUCUGCUAUCAAUAGUAUUCUAGCUCUACUAUAUAAAAAAGUAUGUGAAUUAUUUAUGCCUUGGAUUAUGCAAGUGAGUCUUAAGAAAUAAUUGAUUUUAAUGGCGUAAGUAGUAAAAGAGAGUGCAAGGGGGAAUACACCUAAAUAAAAAUCUAAAGUUUGAUUAUAUCAACUGUAAGAUAAUCCAUUUUCUUGCUUGUCGAAAAUAGAUGACAAUAAUUUCUAUUUUUUCACAUUGACAUUUGUUAGAAUUACUAAUUCGUUUUCUCUGGAGAUUAUGCUCACAAAUAUAAUUAAUAUGAGUGCUAAACAUUUGUUGCAGGGAACUAGUGUUAACAUCAUUGUAGGUUCUCAUGUAUGGGUUGAAGACCCAGCAAUAGCCUGGAUUGAUGGACAAGUUGUUAAGAUAAAUGGGGUGGAUGCUGAGGUCCAUACAACCAAUGGAAAGACGGUAAAUCCACUACCUGUGAUAUAACUUUACAUUUGUCUCGAAUAUUGUAAUCUCUCUCAUAUGCGUGCAUGUGUCUAUAGAUCAUUUUCUUUUUUCCUCGAUCAAUUUAUUUAUUGUAACCUAGGGGCAUAUUGGUUGGUCAUCAAAUGGAAUGUGCUACAUUAUUGAUUGUCUUAUAAACUAGCUUGCACGUUUGACUUUUGUUCAUGCCUUAGCCAUCUCUAAUGUGUGGCAAGUAUAUGAACAGAGUGGAAUGACUUUAUUUGUGACUUGUUUAAGCAAAUAUUAUUCUAUGUAAUACAAAAGUCAUUACAAUUGUUUGCUUACUCUGAUAAAAUAUAUGAUGGUCAUAUAUUGUUCAACAUUAUAUAAGAUCUCCAUAAUAAAACACAAGAAGAUUAGAAAUAUUUCAUAGUACUGCACUUUACUUUUCUACCAAGAAAGAUAGGCAUACUAGAUUUUAAAUUAAUGUUAUAAGCACUUAAAAAUUCAACCCGUUUGGCUUGUUCUACAUCAUUAACUAUCGAUAGCAAAUGGGCCCUGUUGCCACCUAUUUGUUUUCGAUGAUGGAGCCUUUAAAUCGACGAUCGACACCAUUGAACAUGAUCUAUACCACUUGAAGUAUUUAGAAAUCAAAUUUCAUACAUUUUCGAUAUUGUUCUCUUAUCCAACGAGUGGACACAAAAAUGAACGGCUGAAAAUGAAUAUUCUUUAACAAAUUAUGAUAGGAGUCUUGUAAUCAAGAUCAAGAGUAUAGAUCUUGUUUUAAAUAGUUUAAAGAAUUUUCUAACAAAAAUUCAAUUGAUUUGGAUAUCUUUACGCCGUUAAACGAGAAAACGUCUCAUAUCAGCCAUUAAAAUUACAAAUUUUGAAACCCUUUGAUUAUUAGGCAAAUGAUGCCAAAAAGAUUUGAAAUUUGAUUUCUAAACACUUCAAGUGGUAUAGAUCAUGUUCAACGGUGCCGAUCGUCGAUUUGGAGGCUCUAUCAUCGAAAACAAAUGGGUGGCAACGGAGCUCGUUUGCUAUCGAUAGUAUUCUAGCUCAACUCUAUAUAUAUAUAUAUAUAUAUAUAUAUAUAUAUAGAGAGAGAGAGAGAGAGAGAGAGAGAGAGAGAGAGAGAGAGAGUUGGGCUAGAAUGUUCAUUCAAUCUUAAACAGUUUUUAGAAACAUCAAUUGCUCUUGAUUAUAUUUAGUAUGUUAUCAAUUCAAUGCUCCACUCUUUAUCCGAUGAUCGAAAGGGUUCAAAAUAGAUAAUAUGAAUUGUUUAGUAGUUUAUUAGUGUAGAACAACCUAUAUUCAUUAUAUUUUUAAUUUAAAAAAAUUUGUUUCCAUUAUCUAGAUCACAAUUGACAACUCCAAUCUCGAUUUGAAUGCUCAAAAGUGAAUAAUGUUGUGAUCAAAAUUAAGUAAUUAUAUACACACACAUUGGGGAAUAAUCCCGGCAGUUAGCUUCUUAAUAUGUUUUCUUACAUCAUGAACAAACCUACUUGAUCAACCUUUUUCGAAGAAUCACAUCAAAGAGGUAGGUUUCAUCACCUCUUCUCUAAUAUUUGUGUCAUAUUUAUCAUUCUUAUGCUUUUCAAGGAAUCUAUUCUAGUUAUGCGAUUUCUCAAUUUGCUUACAACAUUGUAAAUUUCUCGUGUAUUUGCCAACUAGACUUUACACCUAGUGAGCUACAUCAGAUGUGAUUCUCUUUUGCUAAUUUUUUUAAAAAAUAUUUGGGUCAUAGGUUGUUGCAAAUUUAUCAAAACUAUAUCCAAAGGAUAUGGAAGCUCCUGCAGGCGGAGUUGAUGACAUGACAAAACUAUCAUAUCUGCAUGAACCUGGAGUUUUGCAGAACUUAGCAACAAGAUAUGAACUCAAUGAAAUCUAUGUAAGAUAACGUUCUUUGUAUUGUUCAUUUUUCACAAAUGUUCUAUAUAGAAUAAAUGUGGUUUAACAAGUUCCCAUGUACAUCUCUGACGUCUAGCAUGUCGACAGACUUAUACAGGAAAUAUUCUUAUUGCCGUGAAUCCCUUUCAAAGAUUACCGCAUUUAUAUGAUUCUCACAUGAUGGAACAAUACAAAGGUGCUCCAUUUGGAGAGCUAAGUCCUCAUGUUUUUGCAGUGGCAGACGUUGCUUACAGGUAAGUGCCGUUUCUUUCUCUUGUUUAGAUAGUUAUUCUUGACUCAAACCAAAUGACUUAUACUCUCCAUGCCAAUGGGGACAGGGCAAUGAUAAAUGAGGAAAAGAGCAACUCUAUCCUAGUUAGUGGUGAAAGCGGUGCAGGUAAAACUGAAACUACCAAAAUGCUAAUGCGCUAUCUGGCUUAUUUGGGAGGGCGUGUUGCAACUGAAGGACGAACAGUAGAGCAACAAGUCUUGGAAGUAAGAUAACUAGAUACAACUAAUAAAGCAAUCUGAUGUAUUUUUUUUUAGAUUUGUUUUGUUUUUUUUUGUACGUAAAGCCUCAUACAAAGUUUAUCCAAUAUGAUUAUAGUCGAACCCAGUGCUCGAGGCUUUUGGCAAUGCAAAAACUGUUAGAAACAACAAUUCCAGGUCAGUUGUCUAAUAAAAAUUUUAUAUUACUUUUUUAGGUACUUGUUAUAAAAUACAAAAAAUUAUAUUACUCUUUUGGGUACUUGUUAUAAAAUACAAAGAAUUAUAUUACUUUUUUGGGUACUUGUUAUAAAAUACAAAGACUUAUAUUACUUUUUUGGGUACUUGUUAUAAAAUGAUUGUAUAUAUCUUUUUUUACUUUUAUCUUUUUUGUUGAAACAGUCGUUUUGGCAAGUUUGUUGAGAUUCAAUUUGAUAAGCAAGGUAGGAUAUCAGGCGCUGCCAUUAGAACCUACCUUCUCGAAAGGUCUCGAGUUUGCCAAAUAUCUGAUCCUGAGCGUAACUAUCACUGUUUUUACCUACUUUGUGCCGCACCUCCAGAGGUAAACUUCUAUGUAACUACAAAAUAUUGCUUAUAAACUUGAUCUUUCAAUGAUGCUAAUUGAUGUUACAACUACUACAAAUAUAGCUUGUCUCUAUGUAAUAAUCUAUACUAUCUCUUUACUUUCAAUCUCCAGGAGAUUGAAAAGUAUAAGCUGGGCAAUCCAAAAUCAUUUCACUAUCUCAACCAAUCAAACUGCUAUGAAUUAGUUGGUGUAAGUGAUGCCCAUGAUUAUUUAGCCACUCGGAGAGCCAUGGAUGUUGUUGGAAUUAGUGCACAGGAACAGGUGGAGUUCAUACUAUAUAACUAAUAAUAUUUCAACAAAUCACUAAUUGAAGUAAUAUUAAACUAUUAACUAAUAUGUUUCCUAUAUAAAUUUAUGUAGGAUGCUAUUUUUAGGGUUGUUGCGGCAAUUCUUCAUCUUGGUAACAUUGAAUUUGCUAAGGGUCAAGAAAUUGAUUCCUCAAUCCCAAAAGAUGACAAAUCCAAAUUCCAUCUCAAGAUGACUGCGGAGCUUCUGAUGUACAUGUUUUGUUAUUUCUCUCUCUCUCUCUCUCUCUCUCUCUCUCUCUCUCUCUCUCUCUCUAUCUAUCUAUCUAUUUUUUCUCCUUUUUAUUUGGUUUGAUUAUUGUUAUGAGACUGUUCUUCAUUACACUCUCUUAUAAUCAAUCUGGUGUUGUUCCACUUUAGGUGUAAUCCUGAGGUAUUGGAAGAUGCCCUCUGCAAGCGUGUAAUGAUAACCCCUGAAGAAAUAAUCAAAAGAACCCUCGAUCCUCUCAAUGCAACAGUAAGCAGGGAUGGUUUAGCUAAGACAAUAUACUCUCGCUUAUUUGACUGGUAAUAUGAGUUUAUAGAUGAUUGGAGUUAGUGUUUUUUUUAUUAUUCAUGUUUUAAAGAUAGAAGAAGAACUUAGUAGGAUAUCUUAUUCUAAUUUUAACAAUCACUGCAUCAUCUUUUAGGCUCGUUGAUAAAAUCAAUGUUUCCAUUGGGCAAGAUCCAGACUCUAAGUCUCUAAUUGGGGUUCUUGACAUAUAUGGUUUUGAGAGCUUCAAAACAAACAGGUAUAAUUUUUUUCAUAAGAAAAGGAAUUUGUCUAAUUUUUCAGUCAAUUUUUGAUAUGAUAGAAACUUUCUCUUCCUCCUACUUCUUUCUCAUUUUCAUACUACAAUUCUCACAGCUUUGAACAAUUUUGUAUCAACUACACAAAUGAGAAGCUACAACAACAUUUUAACCAGGUAAAGUUUACCUGCAUGAAAUGCUAUUUUCUUUUUAUUAGUUGCUUACUAACAUUUCUCCGCUUGCUCUUAAUUUGUUUAUACUACUUUACAGCAUGUUUUCAAGAUGGAACAAGAGGAGUAUACUAAAGAAAAAAUUGAUUGGAGUUACAUUGAGUUUGUUGAUAACCAAGAUGUCCUUGACCUCCUUGAGAAGGUUUGUUUCUUAUAUUUAGCUACGAACUUUUAUUUAUAUGUUUUAAUUUUUGUUUCUUAAAUAAGUCAGGUAGCCACGGAGUAUCUUUUACUAAUAUUUUACCAAUCAAGUAAAAAUACUAUAAUAAAAAACUAUCAUUUUGAAUUGGGACCCUUUUACUUUUGUAAUAAUUCUAAUUAUUUUUUUUAAAUAAAAUUACACUAAUUAAUAAUUAACAGCUAAUAGAGUUAUUACCUUUGAUACACUAUUUAACCUAACUAAGUAAAAUAUCUCAACAAAAAACAAAAAAAGAUUGGAAGUUAAAAAUGUCUCAAUAAAAAAAAAGUAAAAUUUGAGGAUUCUAUUUCAACUUCGCACUGGGUCAGAACAGUUUCCUUCAGUCUGCCACUUCUUAUGGUUCCUCAAGCUUGUCACACCUCAAAACACAUUUUUUGGACCUGCUCGAACAUGUGCUAUUAUCACUAAACGGGCAAGAUUUUUUCUACCUAUACAAAACUAUAAUAUACACCAAUCAGUACAUUUCUUACAAGAAUAAGUACAAGCAAGUACCGAACUUAAUUAACUUCUAAUUAAAUCUUUUAUAAUAUCAUUACAUUUGAUCUUAUAUUGACAAGUCCCCAAAAUAGUACAUGUUUCAUUAUUCUUAUAAAAUCAUACUCUCUAGACCAACUCGUAGAUGAUCCAUUUAGCUCGCAAUACCCUUGUCGCAGUCACGCAUCUUACUAGCAAUGGAAGGCUAAAAGCAACAAUAAUAAUAGGAUGAGAACUUGAAAUAAGUUCCUAGUGGAUGCAAUUGUUGAAAAUGAUGCUCUACACCCACUUAAUCUAUGGGAGGUAUAUGUUGAUCAACAAUAAAUAAUGAAAACUACUACUACAGUAAAGAUAUAUAAAGAAAUGUACAACUGCUAUACCAAGAUACAACUAUGCCAAGUAAGAUGUAAUUAUGCCAAUGUCCAAGGAAAGAUUUACUCAAGUCAUUAUUUUAACUCUAAUCGACUUAUUAGUUUGCUUCCAAUACCAUUCUAAACAUGUUAGAGAGAGCCGAGAGUGAUCGAAACUCUUUCUAAUUGAUAAGUACUUGGUCAAAGGUGAUUAUACUUCCUCAAGCGAUGACAUGAGGGAGUCGAGGGUGAUCGAGCUUCUCCCAUGAUGACUUAUAGAAGGUCGUGACUUGUAGGGUUGCAAUCCCCACAAACAACGUCAAUGCUUGUUACUUAGUUUACAUGCUAGGUUUCAAUUGAUGAUAGGGUCAAUCUACGAGUUCAUUCACAUAUUUAUUUCUUCUCCAAAAAUAAGGUCUCAUAGUUUGCUUACACUUUGCUAAGUUUAUAACCAUAUGUUUUCGACUAUGUUCAAUGCCACUACCAUGUCCACUAAGUUCAUAUGUCCUUAUUAUUGUGUUCUACUUAUGAAGAAUGCAACCAAAACAAUAUAGCAUAACAAAAGAGAAUGAAAACUCCUAUAUGCUUUGGUCAUGUACCUAUAACCCCUCAAAAAUUUUCCAAAACUUACCUCAUGCAAAACCUAUCAAGAUUAACCUUCUCUUACUCAAGAUAAUAUGGAAGCUCUUACUCAAGAUAAUAUGGAAGUGUAGGCUACAUACAUAGAAAUAAGAAUACUUUAAACAAAUAAAAGAUCAAACCCAUCUAGGUGACAUUCCCCACUUUGUCUUUGAAAACCCUCUUUGGAAGUAUCUCUUGAGUUCUUGAGGCUUCCAAGAAACCGUGAAAAGGGAGUUCAAACCAAGUUAAAACCUUUGAAAGCUCAUUUAGAAAAUCCCAAAAUUGAAUCCUAAAAACUUCAACUCACCUCUACUCUUCCAAACAAGAGAAAUGAGACUUGGGAAAGUUGCUUCUUCCUUCUAGAGCUCCUUCCAAGUGCCUUUAUCCUUCUCCAACCUUACUAGAAGAUAGAGCUCCAAAGUUCCAACAAUGGUAGCCUAAGGUUCCUUUUCUCUUUAAAGAAAGAGAGGUGGGGGAGGGAGAGGAUGUCAACUUAUGCCUAUAUUGUCACGCCCUGAACCCGAGGCGCAACAGACGCCGCAUACCUGCUAAACUAGCAAAUUUGCAAGGCUACAAAACCAGACAGAAACUAGCAAAAAAUGAUUACCACUUUUUCACUAAAUUCAAAUAAUCAAAGAUGCGACUAAGAAAUUGAAUUUCAACUAGAACCAAACUGAAUUCUAACGUCUAUAAAACUAAAGCUUACUACGAGAUACAAGAGAAAUUCGGUCCAUUAAAUACCAUAAUUAAAAAAGGUAGGUACGAAGAAAUAACGAAACAAAAGCAGAUAACAAACGAUCAUCCACGUAGUCCAAAGAUUCACAUCCGAAAAUACUAGAUAUAGAAAUAAAAGAGACUAAAAUCAAAACUAGCUACGUCUAACGUUCACUCGGUCCCUACCCUGCCUUGCGAAUCAAUCUCGAAACUUGGAUAAGCAACCAUACACCACAUUAGUUGGAUUAAGCAUACAAAUAAAUAAAUACAAAAAUUAAUUUAAGCGACUGAUUUUUAAUUUGCAAAAUUUCAGAAAGCAAGAAUUAUCCAACCUUAAAAUUCUGAUCAGAUUGAAACUAUGAAUUUACAAAGCAUUUCUCUUUCAGUAAUUAAACACAAUAAAUAUUAAGUCUCUGGCAACUAGCUUUAUUGUGUGAUCCGUUGGUAAGAUCCAGAGGCACCUGGAGGCGCAAACAGAACAGAGGCACCCGAAGGUGCAUGUACAAAACAGAGGCACUUGAAAGCGCAAUUACAAAACAGAGGCGCGGAUAGGCGCAGGCACUCGAGGGCGCAAUACAAAGGCGAAGCUUGCUUCUAUAAAAAAUACAUGUCGACAUGGCCAACAUUAGCAUAGUAAAAUACCAAGAGACAUUAUGAUUCAAAAUUAUCCAGUUACUAAUUUAUAGAACAGAUUAUCAAAUUUCAAAAAUUCUUGUGUUAAAAGAAUUUGUCAAUCACAGCAGAAGUUCAGUUCUCAAAUAUGUUUAGUAAUAUGCUUGACCCUUAAGUUAGAAUCUACAAAAUAAAAAUUUUUACACAAUCAAAGUGUUUUCCUAAAUUAUUUAGCGAAAAAUUAACGGGUGUCCAGUUCGCUUACCUCAAAAGCGGCUUCUAAGCUAAAAAGCUAUCCAGUCGAAAAUUGCAUGAAAAAUCAAUCACCGGAACCUAAAAUAGAGAAAUACGAUUUUCUAUAAGCUACUUAAAAUAAAAUUAUAAAGAGGACAUAUAUACAUUUAGAAGGCAAGCUUAUACAAAAAUUUGAAUUCGGAUAGGCUCACAUAGGUCGACAAUGUCGGCUACAAAUGCAUGCAAAAGGUCAAGAUGAAGCACGAAAGAGAUUUAGAAUAAUAAAUUCGAUGAAACUCAAUUAACAAUCAAGAGGAUAAUGAGUUUCAAAGAUUAAAAUAUUCAAAGAAGCAAGAUAACAUGAAUGAAGUUUUAAAUAAUAAACGAAGGAUCUAAUGCUCGAAAAGAGGGUUUUCAAAUGUUGAAACAUUGAUUUGCAAUCAAUAAUUAGAUAGAAUCAAGAUUAGAAAUAAAAACAAUAUAUGCCUUCUCUUAGGCAUUUUGUCGAACAUGUAACGGACUUUCCAAUAAUAUGUAGAAUAUGCAGAAUUUAAUACCUAAAUCACAUAGAGAAUACAUGGUAAAAAAUUACUAAUAUGAUCAAUCUAUAUUUAGGUAGAUACCAAUCAGAUUUGAACGAUCUUAGAAAUAAUCAUCAAAGAAGAACACCUAACAACAAUCACAUAAUUAUCAAUAAAAUUUAGAUGCUUUCAAGAAUAGGUGUAGAGACAAGAAUGAAAGGAAUGAACCUUCUUAAGGAUAGAAAUGACGACGAUGAAAUGUCGUCGACGGCGAAUCGAAAAUGCCGAUGGAUGAGGAUUGCGGCGGUGGCCGUGAACGAUGGCGACGACGAUGACGACGGUGAUCGGGAUGAUGUUGGCGCGCAUGCGGGAGAAGAGGGAGGGCCGUACGGACGUGAGGGGCAAGAGAGAGAAAGAGGGAAAAUGAGAGGUGGGCUCGGCUGAGGGGGAAUUAGGGACUAGUGUUUAAUUAGACACAAUAUGCCACCGAGUCCCUCAACAAUUGGUAUUUACAAAAAGGGUCCAAAUUUAAAAGAAUAAGGGUCAAAGUAAAAGGAAAAAGUACGGGGUGUUAUAAUUGCAACGACCCGACCCGCUAGCAACAAAUAACUCAUUGGGCUCAAACCAUCGGCCCAAACUACUUAAGCCCAGUAAUUAUUACUAGCAUAUAGGCCUUAUAUAAACUGAUCGAAAUCAGUAUCCCAUCCGAUGUAGGACUAUUAGGGCGUUACAAACAUCCCCUGUUUAGACCCUGACGUUCUCAUCGGGUCCAAACCAAAUCACAGACAGACAAAAUAGGACCAGAAUUAACAGGCGAUGUGAGAUUCUAGAGGUGGCUCCUACGGGUUCAAGAGGUGGCUCCCACUAAAUUCGUUGGUGUAGCACUUUGUCCCGCAUAGCACUUAGCUCUCACACUUCCGACUCGUAUUCGGCUCUGAUACCAAAUUGCAAUGACCUAACCCACUAGCAACUUGUUGGGCCCAAACCACCAGCCCAAAAUACUUAAGUCCAGUUAUUAUUACUAGCGUGUAGGCCUUAUAUAAAUGGAUCGGAAUCAGUAUUCCAUCUAAUGUGGGACUAUUGGGGCGUUACAAAUAUGUAGGAUAUAUCAGUAGCCCUACUAAGAUAAUGAGAUACAUAUAUACCCUGCAGAACCUACAAUUACAUAUAACUAGACCUGGCAAACAGGCAGGUUAGGUAAUCCACAGGCGGGCCAUUAUACACGCGGGUUAUUUGGGCAUGGCUUUUAGGGUUUAGGCAAUUUUUAGGGGUUUAGGGUUUAGUGUUUUAGUGUUUUAGGGUUUAGGGUUUAAGGUCUAGGGUCUAGGGUCUAGGGUCUAGAAUAUUGCACCAACAACAGGGUUUAGGGUUUUAGGGGUUUAAGGUUUAGGAUUUUAGGGUUUUAGGGUUAGGGUGAAAGAGGUGUGUUGGCUAUGAUUGUGAAUAUAUAGGAGUGCUGUAAUUGCACUUAGGCCCCCCAAAUUAUUUAUAUUUGCAAAUAACGAACUGCUACCUCCACGCUAGGUUUCCAGUACUCCCCUGAUCUUUUGAGCGCCCGAAAGGUCUAAGCUACAACUCUAGAGCCCUUGGGUUCAGCAUCCGAAAGUUGAUCCAGAUGCCCACCCUGUCUGCCCAAUGCUGAUUUUAUAUGCCAGUAGGGCAAACCGAGCACCCAAUUAAUUAAUGAGCUGAGUGACCCUCCUCUCGGGUUGAGCAUCUAGAAGUUGAACAUAGCGCCCACAUGAGCAGUCCGAAAGGAUUUCAAAUGUCCACAGGACGAUUUAAAGCAUGAAUGUUUAAUCCUUCACAAAUCUAUGCUCUUAGGUAGAGCGUCUGCUAGAAUCGAGCACUUGACCAAACUAUCUAAAAGGUUUCAUGUCGCACCCCAAUAAUCCCACAUCAGAUAUGAAUGGGGAUGUGAUUGGAUAUUUAAGAGACUUAGACACUAGUAAUAAUAACUGGGCUUAAGCAUUUUGGGCUGGUGAUUUGGGCCCAACGAGUUAUUGUUGCUAGUGGGCUAGGUCGUUACAUUUGGUAUCAGAGCUAGUUCACUAGCCAUAAGUGUGAAAUGAGUCUUGGCUGAGCCAGGGUUGGAAUGACAGACUAAGUCAGGGCCGGUGAUUGACAGACUAAGUCAAGGUCGGAAUGACAAAGGCUAGCGAGAUAAGUCUCACAUCGCCUGGUGAUCUUGGGCUAUGUGUGUUUAAGGCUGAUGAGGACGUCAGGGUCUAAACGGGGGAGUCUGUGACACCCCUAUAGUCCCAUAUCGGAUGGGAACGGGGUUGUCAUUAGGUUUAUAAGAGGACUCCACCUUAAUAAUAAUAACUGGGCUUAAGAUUUUGGGCCGGUGGUUUAGGCCCAACGAGUUAUUAUUGCUAGCUGGUCGGGUUGUUACAUUUGGUAUCAAAGCCAGUUCACCAGCCAGUAAUAUGUGACGAGUCUUGGCUGAGUCAGGGUCUGAAAGACAAUGUGAUAGGCUAUGUCGGAGUCUGAAUGACAAGGUGACCGGCUAUGCCAGCAUCUAGAUGACAAGGCUAGCGAGAUGGGUCUCACAUCGCCUGGUGAUCUUGGGCUGUGUGUGUGAUUGGACUAACGAGGACGUCAGGGCCUUAACGGGGGGAGUCUGUCACACCCCAAUAAUCCCACAUCAGAUAUGAAUGAGAAUGUGAUUGAGUAUAUAAGAGACUUAAACACUAGUAAUAAUAACUGGGCGUAAGCAUGUUGGGCCGAUGGUUUGGGCCCAACGAGUUAUUGUUACUAGUGGCUGGGUCAUUACAUUUCAUGUGCCCAAAAUACUUAUUUCGUUUUCUGGAAAGUUUGGAAUCAUAUUUUUACUUAUUUCAAAACUUUGUUUUGAUCCGAUUUAAUUCCAACUGAUUCCAAACUCAAUCUAAACUUCUCCAACCCUAUUUUAGUCAUGCCUACAUGACUUUAAUAUGUACCUUGCCAAUUUCGCUAAAGUUUGGCACACUAUACUGAGUUUCAGUACAUUAUAGGCUGGAGUGAGAAAGAGUGGAAAAGUUUUUGUGUGUGCAUGAAACAGUGAGAAAGAACACACAUAUACAUUUGUAGGGCCAUGCGUAGGGCUGGCAAAUGAGCGAGCCGGCUCGCGUUCGACUCGCGUUCGACUCGAUACUUGGCUCGCUCGAGCUAGACUCGAAAUUAAAUGAGCUGAGCUUGAACAAAGAAAAAGGCUCGAAAUUCAUUUCAAGCCAAGCUUGAGUAUCAGCUAUUAUUAAUAAUGUCCAUGGUCUUUUAUUCCAAUCCGAUGUGGGACUAUUAGGGUGUCACGGAUAAAGUUGUCCAAAAUACUCGAUAUACCGUACCAAAUCCGGAUCCUACCCGAACCCUAUCCGGAUCUGAACCUGACCCGAUAAAAAAUGGAUAGUAUAAGGCUAAAAAAAAUUAUCUAUUAAAAUUUUGAGUAUGGGUCCAGAUACUUUUUACCCGUACCUGACUUGGACCUGACCCGAACCCAACCUUUUAAUGAGUAGGAUUCGGAAGAGUUUCCAAAUCUGGACCCUGAACUGGACUCGGAUCCAGACCGAGUGAAAUACCUAAUAAUAAAUAAAAAAAUUUGAAGUUGAUGGAUCAAUGUUAAUAGAACUUACAAAUGAAGGAUCUCUAUAUAUUUUUAUCAUAGUGAAAACCCUAGUCGCUCUAUUUACUUUUUUUUUAUUUUUUAUUUUACUUUUUGCUGAUGCCAAAAUUAAAAUUAACACGCCGACCUAACCCACAUAUGAGCUAAAGAAAUAAGGACACGUGAUACACCAGGAGUCGGUAAUAAGGUGCCUGAAGGUCAAGAGCGUUUAGGCGGGAACGGUUGAGAAAUAAGGCGUAACUUCCAUGUGAAGUGGGGCGUAACUUCCAUGUGAAGUGGGGCGUAACUUCCAUGUGAAGUGGGGCAUAACUUCCAUGGUCAUGGCUACACCAUUUUCCCUACUACAAUAACCAACUAAUAAUGUGAGCUGAUAAGAUAUUAUAAAUAGUAACUUUGAAGCCUGUAAUAGGGGUCUUUCUCCCCCCUGAACGAGAAGACCACCAUAUUUUCAAUACUUUUCUUUCCUGCAUUUAUCAUUUUCUAGGAGUAGUUUACAUGUAAUCUUUUUUUUACCCACAUUUACUGCUUUCCUAGGAGUAGUUUUUAAGUUAGAUCUCUCGAGUCUGUAUGCCCUACGGGCACACUCUGUUGUAAUCUAGAUUUUCAGAGUCUGUAUGCCCUUUGGGCACACUCUAUUUUAUUAAUAUAUGCAUUCGACUCUUUCAACCGACCAGUUACUAUGUAUUCCAUAUAUUCGGCUCAUCAACCGACCCAAAAUCUUGUGCAUUCUGUACAUUCGGCUCUUCCAGCUGAACCGAGUCUAUAGUAAAGGUCUUCGAACUCGGCUGAUCCGAUCCCUCGUCAGCCAAAUCGCUUGAUCCAGUCGAAGGACGCAAACUUCGAGGGUCACUAAUCGUAGCCGUUCCGCAUCCCUACACUCUUCCCGAGGAGGAUCUUUGACCGGGUCAAAGAAUAAGGACGUUCGGCUCCUAACAAUUUUUGGCACGCCCGGUGGGAGACCAAUUUAGGUAAAUUUAUAUUUUUAUUGAAAUUAUGGCUGACGAUAAUGCUAUGAACCUCCGGAAUAGAGCCAUUCCCAGGCCUUCAGGGAAUGACCAAGCUAGUAGCACCGAAAAUACGAAUGAGAAUCAGGCGGUACUACUUGUUGGAGGAGAGACUAGUGAACAGUCGGUUCAUCAAGAGCCGAGUCUAAUUCAGGCACUCGGCUAGAUGACCCUAGUCCUGCAAACUGUAGAUCAAAAUAUCCAUCAAACUACCGCUCGACUAGACGCGGUGCUGGCAGCCAUCACAGCCUACAAUGAAAAUAUUAUUCGAAUCAGACAAGUACUUACCCGAAACGAGCAACCUUAUGGGAGGCAAUAGGGGCCCUUAACUGUGCUGGUGCAACAAAAUCCCAUCACGCCGGCGGUCUCAUAGGCACAACCCCAAAUGGCUCCUUUCCAGACUAUUUAUAGGCCGGCAAAUAUAAAUGUCGACCCGUACUCGGAGAUUGCAUCAGGUUUACCUCCUUCACCAGCUUACCAGCCCUAAAAUGUAGCGGCUAGGGCUGGGGGGCAGGCCCCAAAUGUACAAGGGAUCAACCCUGUGGUACAAAAUUUCGGUCUACCGCAAAGACCAAAUAUAGCACAAGCGCAAGCACAAGUUCCCUUACAGGGGAACAAUAAUGAAAUCUAUGCACAGAUCGAAGAAGCCAUCCGAAAUACUUUCGGAGUAGGUGCAAGGCCGGCAAUGCGGCCUAUAUUUAGAUAACCCUAUCUUGCGAAUAUAGACGCAGAGCAUCCAUACCCGGCAAAUUGGAAAAUGCUAAAAUUUAACAAAUUUUCUGGGGAUGAGACCAAAAACACGGUCGAACAUGUUGCACAGUUUACGGCACAAUGCCGAGAAGCCGUUGCAGAUCCGCUUUUAAAACUUCGAUUAUUUAACACGUCAUUAACUAAAACGGCGUUUACUUGGUACACAAAUUUACCAGCCAAUUCCGUUUGAGAUUGGGACGAACUAGAAAGAAAAUUUCAUGAGCAAUUCCAUAGGUCGGAGCCACAAUUAUCGGUCGCCGAUUUGGCUUUAUACCGACAAAAGUCAGGUGAAACGGUCGAAGAGUAUUUGAACCGUUUCAAAAUAGCCAAAAUUUGGUGUUUUAUGAGAAUGCCGAAAUCAGAGUUCGCCAAAAUGGUGUUAAAUGAUCUACAUUUUAAGAUAAAAGACCAUUUUGAAGAUAAAUAUUUUUCUAACAUAUUUGAUCUAGGUGUUAGAGUUGCCUAAUGUGAGCAAUUCUGGAAGGAAAGUGAGGACGAUCGACUACAAUGGAGCCGAUAUAAAAAUCAAAGCAAAGGCAAGGAGAAAUCCUUGCUAGAAGAACAGUUGGUUCAAAAAGAGCUGAGCCAAUCAAGUGAAAGUGAAGAAUUGGCUGAUAAAGCCGAGGUAUAUGCGGCUGGUAAAGAGUCACUUUCUUCAAGGAGAAAUCCUUGAUAGAAGAACAUUCGGUUCAAGAACAGCCGAACCAAUCGAGUAAAAGUAAAGAAUCGACUGAUGAAACCGAGGUAUAUGUGGCUGGGAUAAUAAAGAGCCGUUUUUUUUAAACCGACCAAAACCAGCGAAACUAAAGCUUGAGUCUCGGCUGUGCCAUUGAGCAGUCGAUUUGGCACCAAUAGUCAUCCGAAUGUUCAUUCGAAAGACUAUUGGGGGGGCAUUAUUAAUGCCAAAAUUAAAAUUAACACGCCGACCUAACCCACAUAUGAAUUAAAGAAAUAAGGACACGUGGUACACCAGGAGUCGGCAAUAAGGUGUCUGAAGGUCAAGAGCGUUUAGACGGGAACAGUUGAGAAGUGGGGCGUAACUUCCAUGUGAAGUAGGGCGUAACUUUCAUGUGAAGUGGAGCGUAACUUCCAUGUGAAGUGGGGCGUAACUUCCAUGAGAAGUGGGGCGUAACUUCCAUGAGAAGUGGGGCAUAACUUCCAUCAUGGCUACACCACUUCCCCCACUACUAUAACCAACUAAUAAUGUGGGCUGAUAAGAUAUUAUAAAUAGUAAAUUUGAAGCCUGUAAUAGGGAUCUUUCUCCCCCCUGAACGAGAAGACCACCGCAUUUUUAAUACUUUUCUUUCCUACAUUUAUCGUUUUUUAGGAGAAGUUUACAUGUAAUCAUUUUUUUACCCGCAUUUACUGCUUUCCUAGAAGUAAUUUUUAAGUUAGAUCUCUGGAGUCUGUAUGCCUCAUGGGCACACUCUGUUGUAAUCUAGAUUUUCUGAGUCUGCAUGCCCUUCGGGCACACUCUGUUUUAUUAAUAUAUAAAGGCACUCGGCUCUUUCAGCCGACCAAUCACUGUGUAUUCCAUAUAUUCGGCUCAUUAGCCGACCCAAAAUCUUGUGCAUUCUGUACAUUCGGCUCUUCAAGCCGAACCGAGUCUAUAGUAAAGAUCUUCGAACUCGGCUGAUCCGAUCCCUCAUCAGCCGAAUCGCUUGAUCCAGUCGAAGGGCGCAAACUUCGAGGGUCACUAAUCGUAGCCGUUCCGCAUCCCUACACUCUUCCCGAGGAGGAUCUUUGAUCGGGUCAAAGAAUAAGGACGUUCGGCUCCUAACACGUUUUUUUUAAAUUCUAGCUAUUUACUGCUUGAAUCUUUCUUUUGAACAAAUUUUAUUAGACUAUGUGCAACUAAUUAAAAUGCAAGUUUUUUAUAGUUAAAGAUUUAUGGUUUUCUCAUAGAUGGUUUAAUAAAGUUUAUAAAAAGUAUAUGCAUACGGGUAUUCGUACCGGAUCUAGUUUCGAUCCGUACCCGAUCCAUACCCGGUCUUAAGCGGGUAGUAUACGGAUAGUCACUACCCAAACCCGCUCAAAUAGACCCGAUGGGCAUAUUAUUAAAUUAAGUACCAGACCCAAACCUUAUCCGGAUUUAAAUGGGUAGGGUAUAUAUAUUUUUUCUAUCUAUUUCUUUUUAGGGUCAGGGUAUAGUAUAUCAACUACCCAGACCCGACCCUAUCCACAGACACCUUUAGUCACAGACUCCCUCGAUUUAGGCUUGACAUCCUCAUCACCAUAAAAUCACCAGGUGAUGUAAGACUUGUCUUGCUAGUUUUGUUAUUCAGACCUUGAUAUAGCCCGUUAUUCCUAAAUCCUAGCUCAGCCGAGACUCAUAUCACACUUCUAGCUAGUUAUUGGCUCUGAUACCAAAUGUAACGACCUGACAUGCUAGUAAUAAUAACUCGUUAGGCCCAAACCAUCGGCCAAAAUGCAUAAGCCUAGUUAUUAUUACUAAUGUCCGUGAUCUCUUGUAUAUUGAAUCAGAAACCCAUUCGCAUCCUAUGUAAAACUAUGGGUGCCAAAGAAAGCGAUUAUUAAGAUAAUAGCCGAACUUAAUCUCUUUCUUUAUCUAUAUAUCUAUACUAUAUAUAAAAGCACGUAUUUUAAAUCUAGAUUUGUUGAGAGGCCCUUUUUUCGCGUAAAAAAAAAUUUUAGUUCAUCUUUUUUCUUAUGCAAAAAAGAUCAUUGGGCCACGCGGGUUCUCCAUAAUAAUUAUGUCCCAAAAAAAAAUCAUAAUGAAACAAACUUUUAAUUCUCCUUUUUUUUCUAACGGAUAAUUUUUUUAUUAAAUAUUUGUAUAUCAUUCAAUAUUUUUUCAUUUUAAAAUGAAGAUUAUCUCAAUCCUAUCAACUAAUAUUUAGUUGUUAUAUUAACUUUUAUUAAUUGCAAACAAUAAUCAUAUUCAACUUUAAUUUAAAACAUAUAUCUAAAUUUUUAUUUUAUUUUAUUUUAAAUUUUUAUUUCAUCUAAAAUUCAAAGUUGAAAUUUAAUUAUAUAAUUUAAAUUUAAACUUAUGAAUUUUUUAAUUAAAUUAAAAUUUGAUUUAAAUCAUAAAAUAAAUUUAUUUUGGAUAUUGAAUUUGAAUUAACAGUUAAAAAAUUCUAAUUAAAUUGGACUAAAAUUUUUUUUUAUUUUGAAUUAAAUAUGAAUCAAUAUUUCGGUGCUUUUAGUUUGAAACAUAUACUAGGAUUUUAGAUUCCUUAUAAAUCGAAAAAUAUAGAAAAACAUUUCAUGUAUAUAAAAAGAAAAAAAAUAGAACUAUAUAAUUAUUGUCAACAACAACUAUUUGAAUUUGAAUUCGAAUAUGGGAUAUUUUCGAAUAAAAUAUAAAAGAUGAAUUUACUUUUUAGAAACUAUAAACUUUUGGAGAAUUAAAAUUUACAAGUUUAUGUUGAAAAACCAUCAUACUUAUCCAAUUUUCUGCCAACUGAAAGAUAUGUACUGUAAAUUAUUCUUCGUAGGCGCCUUAUAAAGAAUAUUACGUUGUCACGCCCCGCUCUCCGCCAAUUUGGUCGGGUUCGGGCCACGUCAACAGACGCCGAACGGAUAAGGCCUCCCUUGCCUGCCCAAGGCUCCAACCACAAGUAUAAUUAAGCAAUCAAACAAAGAAAUUUGCAAUUAUACAAGGCUUACACGAGGGCAAGCAAUAACGAAAGCGAAAGCUCUAAGCUAAAACAUACAACCAUAUAUAAUAUUUGAUUACAUUUAAACCAAAUACUAGUAAACUAAACUAUUACAUCCAUUUGCUUUCAUUCAUAAUAUUUUUUACAUCAUAAUCGUUCUCCAAAAAUACAUGAUUUGCUUUCAACUUUUAUAACUAUAGAUCAACAAAAUAAAAGUUGAAACAUGUACUCAAAAGGAAUGACUAUGUCACGCCNAAAAAUAUGAAACUUUAAAUCUAGCCUCAUUAAAAUAUUUCUGGCAUCCCCGCCAAUUUUCAUAAUUUUCUGAGACUGUGCAUUUUCUGCUAAUUUUUCUGUCCCGUUUCCAACAGAAAAUUCUAGAUCUUCUGUUUUCAUCCCGAUUUCAGCACAAGUCACUUCUGACUUAUGUUUUACUUCUCUGAAUCCAAUAAAAUAGUAUCUCAUACUAUUUUUACUUAUUUUCACUUUUAUAUUAAAAAUCCGGUAUGUUACAUUCCACCGCAGCCUCACCGGAACCAUUUAAAUGGCUUUCCAAUCGAACGUACACUGUAACCUCAUGAUUUUCGAAGUCCGGUAUCUUACAGACUAAAUGCAUAUACUCCGGUGGCCACUAGCUAUGGCGCAAUACCCUUGCCUCGACCCUCUGCCGCCCCGCUCGCGCUCGGAUCUGUAGGGUUAGUGGUGUGAGAACUACAACGAAGUUUCCAGUGGGUUCGACAACCGACCUCGCCGACUUACCCACUAGGUCUAUUUACGCAUAAGUAUUUCAAAGAAAGAGAAAUAGUAACCAUACUAAUGUUAAUACUAUGCCUGCAAGAAAGCUGUCAGAAGAUAUAUAAUCAAAUAAGGAAUGAUUAUGCAUGCAUGCUUUUCCAUGAUUUUACUUUGGCUUUUACCCAAUCUUACCGGUUAACCUUGUUAACCCCAAUAACUCACAACCCAAAAUCUCUUUCGUUCGGGGAGGCUCUAAGCACUGCAAGACCCGAGGGACCGUCUUCGGGGACCGCGCUCCCCGUGGUGACAAUUCCGGAACGCACCGCUUGAGGGGGAGCUACCACCCUCCAGCCAAGACUUAUCGUGAGUAUUGAUCCAAUUCCCACUUAGAAAAUGUAUAGCCACUAGCCACAAUGCCAGUAUCAUAAUGAUUUUUACCUAUUUAUUCAUGCCACUCUCUAGGUCAUUCUUGUCAUAAUGCCACUAAUUGUUAAAACUUGUUUAACGAGUCAUUUCUCGAUGUCAAUCUUGUCUCUAUUGUCAAUGUUACCUUUGUUUACUAUUAUCAUAGUCUCGGUCUCACAUUCACACAAGUAUAGGGUCCUCCCACAAACAUGUCCACUAUGGUUCAUAUCAAUCUCUAUGUUCAUCUACGUUAGAAGCAUGUAAUUGAAGUCCAACCAUCUUUCACAAGUAAUUAACCCUAAUAUGCAUGAAUGAUUAUUGACAUAAUGCUCAAAUAAAAGGUGAGAUAGACAUAGAAGGGAAUCGAACGAUUCCGGAGUACACCCCCUCCACGAAUAAUUGUAGAAGGGUUGUAGUUCGACUCUCGUGCUCUACGAACUCCGAUCCCGCAUGCUACGGCGGUCUACAAUAAUUUUAGAGCCAAAUUAGGCUUUAUACUACAAAUUCAUAUCUAGUCUUUUCGUUUCGACGAACGGAGUUGUCCCACGCGUCGGGAAUGCCCCCAAUUAGGUUUUGAAGAGGUCAAUUUAUCUCGAAAACACUCGGAGGCAAAAGCCCCAAAAUCCAUGCCCUAAUAAUGUCAUAUAGGGUUUUCUCCUAGAUUGAUCUCAUUCCUAAGCAAAAGUUAGCUUAGAAUCAACUAGGAAGCAUUCUAAUACCAUCACAAAGCCAUUCCAAGCAUCCCUAGGGCAUCUACUUUAAACCCUAGGUGUUCACCAUUAGAGCACAUGAAGCUCCUAUGGGUUUCAUGGUGUUCAUGGCACUAAAGGGUUUCUAAAGCCUCUAAGAAGCUCAAAACACUAAAACUUAGGGUCUAAAACCAAACUCUAGAAGUAAUCUUGCAAGAACUCACCUCUAGUCCCAAGCUCUAUCAAGUCCUCCUUGUUGGAGAGCUUCUAUAACCACCAAAACCUCCAAAAUCUCCUUCUCCAAGCUUUCUUCCAAGCUCCUCCCUUGCCCUAGAUGAGUUUUCUAGAGAGAGAAUGAGAGAAAUGUGAGGGAGAGGGUGUGUGGGGUGUUGGCUGUGAAGGAGAGGAGUGUUGGGUAUAUUACAUGUUGUAACAUUUGCAACUAAGCCCCCCAAAACUCUAUUCUGCAAUAGAUCACUCCCUGCUACCAGAGCCAAAGUGUACCGGUACAUGGCAUUUUGUACUGGUACACAAUUACGCAGAGGCCAACCCGAGAGCAGCCUUCUCGGAUUUUACCAAAGUGUACCGGUACAAACCAGGAGUGUACCGGUACACUUCUGUGAAAACUCAAACCCGAGAGCAGCUUCCUCUCGGGCUGCUGGUCUGUACCGGUUACAACUCGAUGGUUGUACCGGUACACAUGCUCCAGAAUGCAGUUUUAGCUCCGAUUCGAUUCUACUUCGCGCCGGUCGAUGCUAAAACAUUUCUAAUCUCUCUUAAACUUAUUUUUUAACCCUUCCAACAUUGUUGGAAUGCUAAAUGCAAUUUGUCCAUCCAUCUCCUUCGCAUAUUUUAGUCAAUUUGGCUAAAGUUCGAUAUUCGUUCUCGAGGUUUUCAAUAUGUUACAUACGUGCUCAUUGAAAAAAUAAAAUUUUUGCAGUAUUCACUAUUUGUCAAUUAACUAACUAAAAGUAAAGGUUUGAAAAAUAGAAUAAUUUAAAAAUAAGCCGAUCAAAUCGACUUUAAAUUAGAAGUUUAACUCAUAAUUUCAAAUGUGAUUCCAUAUUUUAAUUUAAAAUUUGACAUUAAUUUAAAAUUUUAAUAUUUGGGUCUAUAAAUGGACUGCUUCCAAUUAAAAAUAAUUAACUAAAUUGCACAUAAAUCAAAAUUGAAAGAUAAAUGUGUUGAUAAAUAAAUCCAUGUCCCUAAUAUUUAUACUCAAAUUAUGGAAUUUAAAGAAUUUUACUCAUAAAUUUGAAUCGGAAUUCAUUAAUUUAAAAUGUAGAAUUAAUUCUAAUUUUUAUUUAGGCAUAUAUUAAAAAAAUUUGUAUAUUAUGAAAUAUAUAUAAAAAGAUUUAUAGUAUAACUAAAAUGAAAAGAUAUAAAACUUAUUUGGAGAUAAAUAAAGUUAGAAAAAAAUUAAUUGAUAAAUAGAUUCAUGCCAUCAAUUACUAUUUAAAUUUAAAAUAUAAUUUUGAUUUUAAUUUAAUUAAAUGUAACGUGCAUCGAACGUACACUAUAUUUAUAUAGUUAGUUGAGCUAGUAUAUAUCAUUAAUAAUAUAAAUAGUAUUUGUUAUUAAAUAUUUUAUCUUUACAUUUUUACUAUUCCACGUAACAUCAAUUUGCAUAAAAAAUCCAUUAGUUUUGAGCUUUUGCAAAAGUAGGCCACAUUUUUGGAUUUUGGCCAAAUUUUCAUAAAACUGACCAAAAUACCCUUAUUUCUUUUUCUCUCUUUCCUUUUUUUUUUUUCUCUCAUUCUUUUUUUUUUCUCUCUCCGAAGAGGGCGGCGGAGGUGGAGGAGCCUGCCUCUCCUCUGUGACGCGCAACCUCACCCUCAUCCUCAGCCGUGCACCCUCCCUUUGCUUUCCUCGCUUCCGACCCCAUAUCGCACUGCGAGCCUCAUUUUUUUUUUCUCCAACCCUUCUCCAUCUCCUCCCCAGCUCUUUGCAAUAGUAAAGAGGGCAGCGUCAUGUCCUUUUGCUCUUAUUUUUUUUCUUAUUCUUUUUUUUUUCUCUUCGACCCCCCUACCGCUCCGCGACCUUCGCAUCCUUUUCCCCUCCGUUGCCGGCAUAGGCACUGACGCCGGUGUAUAAGAAGGAAAACUCGGAGCGAGUGCGGGUGAGAGCGGAGAUGAGAAAAAAAUAUGCAGAAAAUAAAAAAAAAUAAAAAGAAUAAAUAAUAAAAUAUAAAAAAAUAUUUUUUUCUAUAAGCAAAAUGAAGAAUCAGAGAGAGAAGAAGAAGAUGAUGAAGUUGCAUUAUUUCUAGGGAACGUUGUAUUAUUUUAAAGAAAACUUACACUCUUUGAAAAAAAAAAAAAAAAUUUUUUUCGAGAUGAAAGUUGCACUCUUUGAACGAAAAUUGCACUAUUUGGGCAAAAAUUACAUUGUUUCUCCUCCUUUUUCUUCUCCUUCCUCUUUAUCUUUGUGUGUUUCUUAUGUGUCCAUCUCUUCUUCGCUCUCCACCUCCGUCGGCAGAUCCUCCACCCUCGCCUCUGCCCUGCGCGCCCUUGCCCGUGGCCGCACACCCCCCACCCUCAUCGCCUCCAAUCCCGCCGAGGCCGCACCGCGACCUUCUUUUUUUUUUUUCUCCGACCCUCCACCGCCGGCGAGGAAAAAAGAGGGUCAGAGGGGGAGGAAAAAAGAGGGUCGGAGAGAGAUGGACGGAGGAUCUGCCAAUGGGGGUGGAGGGCGAAGAAGAGAUGGGCGUAGAAGAAACACACGAGAACGAAGAGAAAGAAGAAGAAAGAGGAGGAGGAGAAACAGUGUAAUUUUUUCCUAAAGAAUAUAAUUUUUGUUCAAAGAGUGCAACUUUCACCUAAAAAGGUAUACCUUUUCUCUUAAAGAGUGUAAGUUUUCUUUAAAACAGCGCAAACAUUCUUCUGAAAUAGUACAACAUUUUUCUAAAAUAGUGCAACUUCAUUAUUUCUUCUCCUUUCUUACAUUCUUUUAUUUGUCUUGUAUAAACAAAAAUAUUUUUGAUAUUUUAUAUUUUAUUCUUUUUAUUUUUUUAUUUUUUGCAUAUUUUUUUCUCGACUCUGCUCUUACCCGCACUCGCUCCGAGUCCUCAUUCUCCAGUGCCGGCGUCGGUGCUUGCGCCGACGAAGGCGGAGGAAGAGGAUCCAACUCUGUCCUCGUUACCGUCAUGGAGGGUCGCAGAGGUGGUGGAGGGGGGUGUGACACCCUAAUAAUCCCACAUCGGAUGGGAAUGGAGUUGUCAUUUGGUUUAUAAGAGACUUAGACACUAGUAAUAAUAACUGGGCUUAAGCAUUUUGGGCUGGUGGUUUGGGCCAACGAGUUAUUGUUGCUAGUGGGCUGGGUCGUUGCAAUUGGUAUCAGAAACGAAUACCAGCUGGAAGUGUGAGAACUAAGUGCUAUGCGGGACAAAGUGCUACACCAACGGGUUUGGUGGGAGCCACUUCUUGAACCCGUAGGAGCCACCUCUAGAAUCUCACAUCGCCUGGUAAUGGUCAUGAUCUAUCUGUUUGUGAUCUCGUUUGGACCUGACGAUGAUGUCAGGGUCUAAACAGGGGGAGUUUGUAAUAGUCCCACAUCGGAUGGGAUAUUGAUUCCAAUCAGUUUAUAUGAGACCUACACGCUAGUAAUAAUAACUGGACUUAAGUAUUUUGGGCCGGUGGUUGGGCCCAACGAGUUAGUAUUGCUAGUGGGCUGGGUCGUUACAUUUUCUUAAUCUGUCACGCCCCGGGGCCGAUUUUAAAAGCCUUUUUAAAAUUCAUUAUCAUUUUGAAACAAAGUUGCGGAAGACGUGCUAAUUUUUUUUUUUUUUCAAUCUGACCCAUGUGACGUACAGAUCCGCCACAAAUACAAAGUUUUUCUGUCCACUCGGACAGAGUCUCCUUUGUAUUUGCACGGCGUACCAACUAUACAAUAUGAUCUCAACCACAACCUACAUUUACCAAUCAAUAACCAAUUCAUGAUAUGCAUUUCCAUACAGCUAACGAUCCUUAGAGAUGAUGCAUGCCUCUAAGCACUUCUUAGGCGCUGGAUGAUGCAAUGCACAAUACAACAAACAUCCUAUUUAAAAGUGCUCCCCACACGGAAGAUUUUGUUUUUAAACUCUAAUUCAUUCAUUCAUGAAAACCAUUCGAAAACCUUUUUAAAACUGUUUCCCACACGAAAAUUCUAUUUUGAAAAUCAACUAUCUCGAAGGGUAGAAAACCACGAUGCGUAAAUAUGUAUAAAUACACAAAUCCGAGAACUAAAUAUCCAUAAAACCAAAACCAGUGAUCCACAAAAUCUCUAAUCAUGUAUAACGGAAAUCACAAACAUUCAAAUAUCUAACUGAACCAUUUAUUAUUAACAAUUACUAAAUGCGGGAAGAAAUAUAACUAGGGUGACGGUCGCUACUGCCGACUAGCUAGAUCGUCCUCCCAUCGAGCCCAAAUACCAACUCCUCGUCCAUGUCACCUGGGGGGUGAGAAACCGCAACCAUGGUUUCCCAGUGGGUAUGACAGAGCCACGAAGGCAAGCCGUAAUCACCGAAAACAAAAGAAGCUAGAACAACAGAUAUGAACAUGAUAUGAUAUAAGAGCAACUACAGUAGUAAUAGAAACAUGAUAAUAACUGAGCAAGAACAAAACUACUACUGUAACCAAAAACUCAACUGAUCCGAUGCCUCAAAGGUGGAUAGUCCAAACCAAAAGCUUAUUCAUGCGUCGUCAACGACCUAUCCGGAUACGUACACCCCUUGGUUGGUGGCCAAACCAACCUGGUGUCUAGAAUACACAGUGCUGUGUCUAAAUCAUGCUGAUAUGCUCAAAACGAAAACCGGCAAAAAGAGACUGGUGCCUUGGCCGAAGCCAGGUGUAAGAGCGUACAACGUCGAACCACGAUCAAUCAGAUCGAAACACACGACAAAGGAGUCGAUGUGUUGCCUGGACCCAAGGUCUACAGAUAUACAGUAUAUAUAUGCAACUUGCUCUACAUGUCUAUCAACAACUAACAAAAUGCAACUAACAAAAUAAGAUAUACGAAUGAUAAUCAAAGCAAAGACAUGUAGAGACUACGAUACUAAUAUGAAAGAACAGGGGAAGGGUGAAACGAUCUCACCGACUACCAGCUCGAAGCACCCACCUGUCAUAAUCGCGUCGGAACACUGGGUAAGCACAAGUCAACCGGACCUACGAAUAUCCGACGGGUCAGUAACCAACCUACUCACUCGAAGCACGAGACUCACAAACCCCCCACACAAGUCCCCUGAUCGGUUUUCCCAAAACCGAUCACCGUAACUUACCGGCAGUCCCAAAAACCACACCGGGACGCCGUCGGGACCCACUAAGUGUGCCGAAACUCACCGACUCGUGUCACGUGUCACCUGCUGUCCAGCAAAUGUAACGACCGAGCUCACUAGCAAUAAUAACUCGUUGGGCCCAACCACCGGCCGAAAAUGCUUACGCCAAGUUAUUAUUACUAGUGUCUAAGUCUCUUAUAAACCAAAUGACAACCCCAAGAUCACCAGACGAUGUGAGACUCGUCUCGCUAGCCCGUCAUCCAGACCCUGGCUCAGCCGAGACUCGCCCCACAUGUCCAGCUGGUGAACCGGUUCUGAUACCAAAUGUAACGACCCAGCCUAUUAGCAAUAAUAACUCUUUGGGCUUAACCACCGGCCCAAAAUACUUAAGCCCUGUUAUUAUUACUAGCAUGUAGUUCUCAUAUAAACUGAUCGGAAUAAGUAUCCCAUCCGAUGUGGGACUAUUGGGGUUAUUGUAAAGAGUUAGGGAGGCAAUGGAGAAGGAUCAGGGAGAAAAACAAAAAAAAAAGCCGCGACACGGCCUCGGAAGGGUUACAGGCCAGAAAGGCGGAGAGAGAAUGCGUGGGUGAAGGCGAGAGUGAGGACGAGGACGCGCAGGACAGAGGUGAGACGUACUGUCUCUGCCUCCGCAUUUGCCUCCGCCGCAUCUUCGGAGAGAAAGAAAAAAAAAAGAACAAAAAAAGAAAAAACUGAAAAUCUAAUCUGAAUCUGCAAAAUCCAAAAAGACAAUAUAGUUUUGCAAAAACUCAAAACUACUAAAUUUUUUUUGCAAAUUGUCCAUCCUAGUUAUAGUCAUCGAAGGUUGGCAUUAAACAUUAUUAAGAAAAAUAUAUAAACAAUCGUCCUUUUUAAUUAUUAGGAACAAUACCAAAAGAGCCCAACCAAAAGAAUACUUUAUCCUUUUUAGAUAAUGAUACCGCCGCAGAUUUGCGAUGUGAUCCGCCCGUGCGCAGGGAAUCCUGCCGUGCGCACGGGGCAUAGAGCAAUUGAACUCCGAUCAGGCCCAUUCUGCGAGUGUGCGAUGGAACACGAUCGCCGACGAGCGCGAAGCCGGAGCUUGAUUACCGAACGUGAGAAUGCUGCGGCCGACUCCUUUGUCAGUCCGCGUGUCCAGACAGCCGAGCGCGAACGGCCUACCACCUACGCCGACGCCCGCCAGCAAACCCUAAUCCUCAUGCUUUUUCCUCCAGCCCCAGCCCCUAGUAUUUUUCUUUACUAUUCUUUUUCUUCUUCUUUUUCUUUCUUUUUUUUUUUAAAGAAAAAACUGUUUCAUCUUAUAGGUUUCCUGUUGUUAUACUUGGAUUUAUUAAUCUUUUAGGCAUUUUUUUUGGUCAUAGAUGAAAACGAAGUCUUAAUAGUAUCUUAUUGGAAAAAUAUGCAUGCAACCUGAAAUUUGUAGUUUGUCAAAUGACUCCCUAAACUUUCAGGUUUGGCAACUAAACCUCGUAAUUUUGGUACCAUAUAUGUUUUUAAUUUUUAAACACUAAUUCUAUAUAAUUUGAUGUGCUGGAGGAAAGAUUUUACUUUUUUAUUAUUGUUAUAAUAAUUAACUAACUAACAAUCUAUCCGCCUAACUGAUAGAUGAUUGCUUAAAAAUAUUUUGGAAGCAAAAAAAAAGGGUUGCUUUCAAAUUUUUAUAUUUUGUUGCGAAAUAAACACUUUGGAUGAAAUGAUUGUAAAUAAUUUGUGAUGCCCCAACUUCCCAAGGGGUCACCCAUCUUAGAAUUACUCUAGCCCUAGCACUAUCAGCUUUCUUAAGCUUUUGGACUUAGCCAUCGCCUAAAAUGCUAUAGCCGGGUUGUGAGUUUUAACCCUAUUAUAUUUUAUAUAUAGGACUAUCUGGGGUCUCACAUUCUUCUCCCUUUAAGUCCUGACGUUCUCAUUAGGUUUAGACUCAGCAGGCGAUGUGAGACUUAUUUCGUUAGCCUUAACCGACCUUGAACGUCAUUAGGUUCAGACUCACCAGGCGAUGUGAGACUCGUCUCGUUAGCCUUAAUCGACCUUGUAGGGGAGCCGUGCUCUAACCACAAAAGUCAUCAGCAUGAGAGCGUAGCUCCCCGCUUUACAACCUGGCUUAAUCGAGACUCAUUUGGCACUUUCGGCUGGUAAUUGGCUCUUAUACCAACUGUGACGCCCUAACUUCCCAGGAGGUCACCCAUCCUAAGACUACUUUUGCCCUGGCAUGCUUGACUCUAUUCUUGACUCUCUUAACCUCUUGGGCCCACCACCCAAAAUGCUGUAGCCGGAUUAAAAGUUUUAGCUCUAUUAUAUCUUAUAUAUAGGAUUACUUGAGAUCUCACAUAAUCUGUCCCUUCCUGCACCUUUGGAUAUACAAGAUUUCAUUUAAAAAAAUUAAAAACAAACACAAUACCAAACGCGGCCUUAUCAAAUAGUUCAAUUGGUCCUUGUUUUCGAACAAAGUUGCUAAUUGAAUUGCCGUGUUAGUGGCGUGUCUUAUAUAUGUGAUCUUGUAUAAGUUUCAAGAUAUGAAAUAACCUGCUUAUUCUCUUCUCACAAAUGAAAUAAUGGGACUUUUUGUCGAAAUAACCUCAUAAAAAUUCAUAUUUGGGUAAAUAACCCUAUGAAUUUUUUUUGGCAUAAAAAUUUGUGCAAAUUUGAUGGAUUAGUUCUAAAAUUUCAUUUUUACCCCCCUAAUAAGCUAAAACCUUAAUAAACUGAUCAUCAGAAAAUGCAAUUUUCAUAAUCUUAACAUAUUUUUAAAGAAAAAAGUUAAUUACAUAAGAGUGAUAGAUCAGACACUUAUUAAAAAAUUUUAAAAAAUCAAGCCAUAAGCUAUAAAAUUAAAAACUAUAUCCUAAAUAUAUAGAAAAACACGUUUCAAUAUUUUCCCCUACAAUAUAUAGUUGAGGGUAAAAUCGUCAUUUACUAACUAUACUAGUGUUAAAAUUUCUUUUAACCCGGAUAGGCUUAAAAAAAAAGGGUUAAUUGCAUACAACUCUCUGUAAACAUAUCGAAUAGCAAAUAUAUCCCCACAAAGUUUAACUUUUUCUUUAUCCCUGCAAAAGUCUAGUGAUAUUCAUAUUUGCCUCUCUGGUUUGUUACCGUUAGAGCACUAUUUAUUUUUUAAUAGCAUUUAAGUGAAAUGACAUUUUUGCCCUACAAAUAUAUCCCUCCAAAAGGCUCAACUGUUAAAAUUAUGUAGAAAUUUUAUCCCAAAAAAUAUUUUACCUAAUAAUAUAAGAGGGGUAAAUGGUCAAUUUAAUUCAUUCACUAACCAGGGUUAAAUAUUUUACUCAUGGUUAACUAUAUUUUUCUAAGGAAUCCUAACAAUAGGGGUAUAUUUGAAAAUAGUAGGACUUUUGCAGGGAUAAAAAUAAAAAGUUGAACUUUGUAGGGAUAUAUCUGCUAUUCGAUAUGUUUACAGGGAGUUGUAUGCAAUUAAUCCUAAAAAAAUAACAAUAAGGGCAUUUGUGAGAAACUCAUAUACUUAAGGGGAUAUACGUGAUAUUUUGGAUUUUGAAGGGCUAUAUGAAAUUUCGAAACUUUACAAGUGUAUGCUUGACAUUGCUUCAUGCUUAUGUGCCUUGGUUUUUUUCCUUCUUUUGCUAAAGAAGGUUAUGUUCUAAAUAUUAUUAGGAUUAUGAUGUUCUUGUACUGUCCUUUAUUUCUUUUACUCAUGUCUACUAUUUUCUAAGAUUUUCUUUUCUUCUUAGAUUGUAAUUUCCUAUUUUAUACAGUUGUUUGCAAUGCAGCUCUAAUAUAACCAUACAUAUAUAUUUUUGAUAUUAUCUCGCCUUGAUCCUAUCUAUCUUACUAUUACAUUAAUCGAGCUAAUGAAACGAUCUCAGGUUAGCUUGAAUCAACUGUAAACUAAUCAUGAGCUGUUCUUUUCCAGUUGGUCAUGAUUUUGAGCCGAACACGAACUAGCUUGAAACAUUUUCGAUUUGAUCUAAGGUUGCUUGUGUUUGGCCUGUUUAUACCCCUAGCUUUAUUUAGUUCUCUACAUCUAAAUUAUGAUUCAUGUCCUUGUAAGCUGUAGGCAAUUCAUAUAAUCUUUUUCAGGGACUGAUGGAAAGCCUAUUGUGGCAAUCAGGUAUGAUACACUUGACAAUCACCUUUGUCCUCUUUAAAAACUAUUAUCCAACAUUUGCCUGAUUGAUACACUUGACAAUCACCUUUGUCCUCUUUAAAAACUAUUAUCCAACAUAUGGGGAGUAAAAAGUAGAGGGGAAAAAAAUUGUUUAUGUCUUAUUUCCUUUAUGGAGAGAAGGGUAAUGGUCAUGGGAUGUGGCUAGCAAGCGUGUCAUACAUUGCGACUGUGGUGGUAAUUCUGUUGGCUUUAGUCACACUAACAAUUGUUAAUGUGGAUUAAGACCAAUUGAACUCCACUCAUCCUUUGGCAUUAUCUAAAUAAAUCUUUAAAAGGAAUUGUGCGGGAUCAGUCAUAACAUACAUCUUUGGCAACUUGAUCUUAUUGUAAACUACUUCAUCCCUUGAACAAGUUGUGACUAAUCUUCUCUAAUCAUACCUGACCAUGUCAUCUUAGGCCUUCCUCUACCUCCUCUUAUAUCACUUUGUCUUUCUUGCUUUUUGGAUUGGAAAAUUGUUUUUUUUUUUUGUCAUAUAAAACCAUAACUAAUAAAUAAUCCUUUUUUGCUGUCCUUGAUUGAGCCUAACUCAUGUUAGAGCUGAAAUUUUCAUGUCGAACCCCAUACUCCUUUCUAUGAACACCCAUUCAGAUUAAUAUUCUCACUCGCUACACCUAUCAAAAUUGUGAAUAUAAAGAAUUAAUGAGUGAAAUAUUUAAAUAUAAAGGAUAAGGACUAGAUGAAAAAUUAGAAAAAGAAAAUUCACCUUCAAGUUGUGCACCUUUUUUCUUUUGCAAAUACUACAAUGCUCCGUGUUGGUUUCGUUGAUGGCUCAAAUCUUUGGGAGCUUGUUUGGUCGUUCUCGUUUAGCAACUAUAAUAGCUCUGCUAGUAGAAUCUAGACAUGCUUGUUGUUUAAUUAGUAGAAUGUACCGAUUCAGACAUUUGUAAAUCUUUAUCUACUAUGUGGAAUGGGUUGUAUCCAAGGAAUUGUUAUGGCCUAAUAUAUGCCACUAUGCUAGUGACACGGAAUGGCACAAUGGCAUGGGGUGUGCCAACAUCGGCUUGCCCACCCCGUGUUAGAAGCAUGCCAUUGGCACUUUGGCACGCAUUGGCAUUGUUUUUUUUUUAAUUAAAUUUUCAUGAAAAAUAGUUUUUAGUAUUUUAGUUUCUCUAAUGGCUAUAAAAGUGGUUUAUAUAUUAUAACUCGCACAAUUUUACAAGAAUAGACCACUAAACAUUAUAGUAACUAAAAAAAAAAAAUCAUUUUACAUAGAUGUAUACAUGAAUCCAAAAUGAAAGUCAUAAUUGGAUAAAAACUUAUAGGAAAACACCACUGUAGGUAAAUUCGCUAGAUCUAAAAUGAUAAAAAGAAUUGGAAGAAAUCUUCUUGUGUAUACAAUAUUUUUUUCACUAAAAGUUGGUCUUAUUGUGCAAUGGAACCUACUAAGUGCUCCAAAUGUUAGUAUAUUUACAUGAUCUAUAUGUUUCAAUAUGAAAAAAUAUUUGUAAAAGUUUUUGCUCCCGGCAACUCGAAAGGAUCCCAAAAAAUACAAAAAACAAAGGAACCAUUUGUGUCGAUAUCGACAGCACGAUCCUAUACGUCAUAUCAACAUUGCCCUAUGCCACAUGCCGACAUGGCCUCGGCACAAUAAGUCAUGGGUAGGAGGUGGCGACACGGGUAAUUGUGACGCCCCAACUUCCCAAAGGGUCACCCAUCCCAGGACUACUCUCGUCCUAGUACGUUUAACCCUCUUAACCUCUUGGGCCUAGCCACCGCCCAAAAUGUUUAAGCCGGGUUAAGAGUUUUAUCUUUAUUAUAUCUCAUAUAUAGGACUACCUGGGGUCUCACAUUCUUCCCCCUUUAAGCCUGACGUCCUCGUUAGGCUCAGACUAAUCAUAAGUACCAGGCAAUGUGAGACUCGUCUCGCUAGCCUAAACCAGUCUUGUGGUAAGCUGCGCUCCACUCACAAAAGUCAACAGUAUGAGAUCCUCGCUCUCCUCACUAUAUAAUCCUAGCUCAGUCGAGACUCAUCUCACAAUUUCGACUGGUAAUUGGCUCUGAUACCAACUGUAACGCCCCAACUUCCCAGGGGUCAUCCUAGGACUACUCUUGUCCUAGCACGCUUAACUAUCUUAGCCUUUUGGGGCUAGCCACCACCCAAAAUACUUAAGCUGGGUUAAGAGUUUUAGCCCUAUUAUAUCUUAUUUAUAGGACUACCUGGGGUCUCACAGUAAUUCUCAGUUGUGACAUAUACCUUGCUUGUUUAUAAACCUAGGUAGAUCCCCUAGAGAUUUGGCUGACAUUGGUGAUACUGUGGCAUACACUGUGUUGGUAGGUUGUGUCAUGCUGCAUCUUGAUCCUUGAAAGAUUUUAAUGAUCAGCCUUUCGUCCUUACUCCUUUAUAUUAGUAGUUCCUCAAUUGAUGCUAUAUAACAAUAUCUCGACAAUCAAAGGGACAUAUUUCCUGAAACUAGGAAAUAUGAAUUAAAUAGAUUGACAUGGUAAGCAUGCACCAUCAUAUUGGCCAUCAUUUGCCUAAUUACCUAUGUGUGACAUGGUGAUAUGCAUCGACACAGGAAAUGAUCUUCAUAAAAUGCACCAUCAUAUUGGCCAUCAUUUGCCUAAUUGCCUAUGUGUGACAUGGUGAUAUGCAUCGACACAGGAAAUGAUCUUCAUAAAUAGUCAUUCCAAAUUGUCGAGCUUCGCUUCGCACUACAGCUAUGUUAAUGGCUAAUUGGCAAGUACAUUCAUGGAUAGCACUACUGAAGAUGGGUUUUAUCAUGUAACAUGGUCGAAGGAUAUUAACUUCAUGUUUUCUUGGCUUAUACAUUAACAACAUCUGAUUACUGUAGUUGUAUGCCAUUGUUUGCCAUCUUCUAGUAUGUGAAAAUUGCUAUCCUGCCUAUCUUUAAGCUUCAGUAAUUCUUCGUGGGAUCAUGGAAACGUCCUAUGCUACGCACAGUAGACCUGUUGUUCCUCUCACACAUAUAUCUAACAUGCUGCACAGAUCUUCUGUAGUCCAAAAUUAUUUCUCAGACGUAUGUGUCGUCCUUGAUGCAUCUCCUUAUCUUUAUCAAUGUCUUAACAGUAUAUUGAACUAAUUUGUCAAACACACGUCUUUACAAUACAAAAUUCUUUAUUUGCAAAGCUCCAGGUAAGUUCAUAAUGCAAAAGUUUCAAGAUGUUAUGCUGCUUCUGCAGUGUCAUUUCAUUCGUUUGUAUUGCUCUCUUUUUCUUUGCAUGCAAUAUAUCUCUAUGGAACUCUGAGAUUAUUUCUCCAAGAUCUUUAAGCUGCUAUUUGUUUUACAGAAACCUGGUGGUAUCAUUGCCCUCCUUGAUGAAGCAUGGUAUGUAACUUCCAUAUGCUCUUCUUAUAUUUAUUUAUUUAUUUUUCUUGGCGGGGGGAUUUACUUUGAUCAAUAUUUUUAAUGUCAAAACAGUUUUCAAUAUGGCUUACCAUUUAUUUUAGUGCCAAAUGAUUUAAGUGUUACUUUACUGAUUAUGUGUUGUUGUAAUUGACAGUAUGUUUCCGAAGUCAACACAUGAAACCUUUUGUCAAAAGCUUUAUCAGACUUUUAAAGUGCACAAGCGUUUCAUCAAGCCAAAGCUGUCUCGCACAGAUUUUACUAUAUGUCAUUAUGCCGGCGAGGUCAGCCUUGCCUUUCAUCUUCCAAUAUCUGAAGAAAAAGGACUAUUUCCUUUUAGUCAAACUUUGUUUUUCUGGUCGGCAGGUCAUCUAUCAGUCCGAUCAGUUCCUAGAUAAAAAUAAAGAUUAUGUUGUCGCAGAGCACCAAGAUUUGUUGAGCACUUCCAAAUGUCCAUUUGUGUCAGGCCUCUUUCCUCUUCUGCCAGAGGAGACAUCCAAGUCUUCUAAGUUCUCCUCCAUCGGUUCUCGUUUUAAGGUGGGUUGUUAACAGUUCAUCAUUAAAAGUGUAUCGUUUAGAAGAAACUAUACAUGAUUAAUUCAUCUAUUUUGAUGCUUGAAAUCCCUUUUAUCAAAAGACUACUGAUUUCUACUAACUGCAGCAACAACUGCAAGCCUUGAUGGACACACUGAAUUCAACAGAACCUCAUUACAUUAGAUGCGUCAAGCCAAACAAUCUGCUAAAACCAGCGAUAUUCGAGAACGUCAAUGUUAUGCAACAACUACGCUGCGGUGUGAGUGUAUUUGAACUUUAGAUGAUUUACAAUGGUUUCAUAUACAUUGUGUUAUUAGAAAGUUACGAGCAAUAAUACUAAUCUUUUUGUUUACAUCUGUUGGCGUGAAUGCUUUGUAUAAAUCAAUAGGGUGUUCUCGAGGCUAUUAGAAUUAGUUGUGCUGGAUAUCCUACCCGUCGCACAUUUUAUGAGUUUCUACACCGUUUUGGGAUACUUGCUCCAGAAGUUCUAGAAGGAAGGUAACAUUCAAAAUAAUUUUGUGUUUCUUGCUCUCCAAUUAGUUAGCCGCACAUUUAUCAUUGAUUUUGUAGUUUGUGUGCAGUAAAUUUGUCAUUCACAACUAUGUACAUUUCCCAUGUUUGAACAGCUAUGAUGAAAAGGUUGCAUGCAAGAUGAUUCUGGAAAAGAAAGGUCUAACUGGAUUCCAGGUAACUACUAGAGUAUCUCUUUCUCUCUGUUUGUGUAUGUCUCGGUACCAAUUUAUGUAAUUUUUCGACAUCAUUUACAUAUUGAUCAAGCAACCUCGGAAGUGAUAAAAUUUCUCAUCUAAUGGUGUAGAGCAAUUUAAAUAGGUUGAUAUAUGAUAGAUUUUUUUAAAAAAUAUUUAGAAUAGGAACUUCUGCUUUGAUUCAUGUUUAAGGGUAUCGAUUGACACCUUGGGUGCCACAUCAUUGAAAACAAGUCUAUAACACAAAAGGAUUGGUGCUAUUAAUAGCACUGUAGCCCAACUCUCUCUCUUUCUCUCUCUACAUAUAUAUAUAUUAUACACAAUUUCAUACAUCCACCUUGUGGUGUUAUAUUUCUUCUCUGUACCUUGCCUUUUUGAUGUUAGUCAAUCAUCUUUAACUAAAAUGCCAGGUUUCUUAUGCCAAUGUGUAGAAAUAUGUAAGAGUCUUUUAAUUAAGCUCAAUUACUUGCAAUGAGGGACCAAAAUAGCUCUCACUUUCAACAAGGUUUAGGUUAGAAAUUUACAACUUCAACAGCAACUGUGUGAAAGAUAAUUAAAGUCUAUAGAGAAAUUCAAAAAGCUUCGUGAGAAUAUAAGAGUUCAAGCGGGCAUUUACCUUACAUUGUGGUAGAUUAGUUUGUACCUUUUAGUCUGCUGCCUAUUGUUACUUGCUCAGAAUAGAAAGUUCUUGAAAGAGGGGAGAAAAUUAUGUUACAGCUUAGUGAAUAAUUUCUUUUUUGGUUCAAACAAUGUUAGUGAGAUGCAUUCUUUAAGACAGUCAAAAUAUUUUUGUUGGUUUUGUAUCUCUUUGGAACUCAGCAUCGAAAUGUUUUUCAAAACUAGCAAAAUUAUAACCCCAAAAUGAGAUAAUGAUUUUUUAUUCAGGAAACUUAGCAAAUGAGUGGAAUUUAUAUAGUAAAAAUUUGUGGUUGUCCCUGUAUGUAAAUUAAAUGCAAAAUGGUUUGACGGUUGACCGUAGUUUUAUUAAAACUGAUAGAAAAUGAAUAUUAUCCAUAUUAUUUCUAUUUCAAUUAUUAUUGCUAUUUUCAGAGCAAUUAUUUUUCUUUAGUCCAACACUCUCCCACAUUGUUUUCCAGAUAGGCAAGACAAAGGUUUUCCUUAGAGCUGGUCAGAUGGCAGAGUUAGAUGCUCGGAGAGCUGAAGUGCUUAGCAAUGCUGCAAAGGCUAUUCAACGGCAAAUACGAACUCAUAUCAUGCGAGAAAAGUUUAUUGCAUUGCGAAAGGCUACAAUACGUGUUCAGUCAUUAUGGAGAGGUGCAUUUAGCUAAUGUGAAUGCUAUGAUCUAGGCAAUUGGUUCAUUAAAUAAUUAUAUUACAUUUUAUGCUUUACUUGUAGGACGAUUGGCUUGCAAAUUAUACGAGCACAUGAGAAGAGAAGCUGCUGCUAUUAAACUUCAGAAAAAUUUGCGGAGAUAUCAGGCUAAGACGUGUUAUACACGUCUAAAAGUUGCAGUUCUUGUCAUGCAAACUACAUUUCGGGCUAUAGCUGCUUGUAACGAGUUUAGAUUUAAAAAGCGAACCAAAGCAGCAAUAAUAGUUCAGGUUGUUGUUUGAUUCUUACUGCAGAAGUUAAACAACGUAAUGAAUUCUUUUUUUUGUUUCUUGUGACAUAUUUCUUUCUGCUUAAUGCUUCUAUUUUUGCAGACUAAUUGGCGCUGCCACAGGGCACAUUCAUAUCACACGAAGCUAAAAAAGGCAUCCAUUGUUACCCAGUGCAGGUGGAGGGGAAGAGUCGCAAGGAGGGAGCUCAGAAAGCUUAAAAUGGUCAGUUUGAACUGUUGCUCUUUUUGUGCAAUAUUAAAAACAAACAUCAAUAUUUCUAGAGAGGAAUUUGUUUGGAUUAUUAUGUACAUCAUGGAUUUUUUGUUUUUUUUCAAGACGUUCUAGAAAGCCUUUUCUUGUUCUGCACUAAUACAAAGGAUUUCUCUUAAGCACUAGAGAAUGGUGUUUUUAUUAUUUAUAUUUCACACUCCUCCUCACAUCUAGGCUUGAAAUGUUUUGAUAGGCCAAAAACGUGGGCUUGAAUUAAAAAGGACGAAUUAAAUAAUGCUAGGAGCCUGGCAGGACUCGAACUUAUGAUCUUCUGCUCCGAUACCAUGUUAAAUUAUGUGAAACAAUUGUUAUUUUCUAAAAGCUUAAUCUAACAGAGAGCGGUAUUCUAUUAUUUAUAUUUAACAAGGACAUCUUUUUAUCUAUUUUAAUUCAUUGUGAUUAAGUUGAAGCAAGGUUUAAUUUUGGCUAAUAUCUCCUCUCCUUUUCCUCCAUCGAUCUUUGUGCAUCAGAGCAAGGAUUUAAGUGCCAUGGCACGGAGUUGUGCCGGAAACCUGCCGGCACGAUACGACACGGUGCGUGCUGGACCGUGCCGAUGCGUGCCGGUCACAAAAAAUUCAUGUGUGCGGACACAUAAUAGCAUGAAAUAUUUAUUUUCUUUAGCAACAAAAUAUUAUAAUUGCUUAUUAUAUAUUUUUAUCAAAUAUUUUGAACUUUAUUGAGAAAGUUACUUACUAAUUUAAAGAAUAGAGGGUUUUGAGCUGUGCCAUCGGCACGGGAGCAGAAUCGUGUCGAUAUCUUAUUGGCACGAUACGACAUUGUAGAUACGGCCUGUGCUGAUGGGCACUUAAAUCCUUGCAUCAGAGCAUCUUAUCGAUAAGAUUAGGGUCAAUAUCUUGAUGUAAUACUUGCAUUUAGUGGGUAGAAAUCCAUUAUCAUCCAACAUACAGAAAAAUGAUUUGUAAAGCUUUGACAUUGUACGCUUUUAUCUCUAUCCAUUUACAAGUGAAAAUUUGAUGCAUACUUUUCCUUGUAAAAGUGUGUAGGUUUAUAUGAGGUUUGUUUCUCAACUCGAGCUAUGUCUUAUGUUGAUAGAUGUGAUCAGCUGUUCCUUUGCCUAACCAUAUCUACAUUGGUAAAAUUUGUAUGUUGUUCUUUUUAUGUAUUUAUGAUAUUUUAUAAUUUGCAGUUUUUUCUCUUUUUCUCUUAGGCAGCACGAGAAACUGGUGCACUUAAGGAAGCGAAGGAUAAGCUUGAAAAGACAGUGGAAGAACUUACUUGGCGUUUGCAGUUAGAAAAACGAAUGAGAGUACUGUUUUAGACUUUCUAGAUUACAAACUGUCUUUUAUACUAAGAAUCAACUCUUUUGCCUUAUUUGAAAUUUGAAACUGAUCAGCUAAAUCACUUCCCUUCUACUUGGUGAAUAAGCAACUAGUUUGCAACAUUAUCUGUUCUUUAGUUACAUUUACUGUUAGCUUUAAACAUUAUUGAAUGGUUCCAAAGAUUCACGAUGACAAAGAAUUGUUUGUUUUUGUCCUCAUGCAUGCAGACAGACUUAGAAGAAGCUAAAGCACAAGAAAUAACAAAAUUGCAGAGUUCUUUGCAAGCGGUGCAAAGUAAAGUUGAGGAAACAACUGCAAUGCUUGUCAAGGAACGGGAAGCUGCCCGAAAGGCUAUUGAAGAAGAGCCUCCUGUUAUCCAGGAAAAGACAGUUGUUGUUCAAGACACCGAAAAGAUUGAUUUUUUGACAGCAGAGGUGGAACAAUUAAAGGUAUUUGGAAAUUUUAUAUGUUAGCAACUUUCUCUUGAAGAACGAACAUGUAAUAUUGUUAGAUCUAUGUGCAUGUGUAUAUGCUUACUUUCUAUCUUUUCCCUUUGUAGUUUAUUACUAGAAACUUGAUUUUCUCAGCCAAAACAGUUCACUAUAGAAUCCUUCUCCAGUUCUUUUGGAAGCAAAAUGUUCUAAUGUUAGACAAGUAACUUUUUCCCUUAAAGUUUGACAAGAAACUCAAACUUGGAAGAUACGAAGUAUAGAUGCUUCAUUUUUAGUGUCGUUUGCGUAUGGAAUACAUAUCAUAUAUGGAUAUAUAUGUCGCCAAUAGGUAUUCGUUACCGGAAUUAAGUAUUACAAUUUUUCAAGAAAUAAAAAAAUAAUGAUAUGACACUGGUAAGGCGGGACAUGAGGAAGGAUACUAUGGGAUAUGGGAUAGGACACCCCGGGGCACUUAUAGGGUCAAAAAUGGGUUGGACUGAUUGACUUGAAUUUUUCAACGAUCCAGAUGCAAACUAACUUGUAUGUGAGGGAUACAUUUUGUGCCCCAAUUCGCAAUUUUCAACAUCAUUCCCCUUACUCUAGUCAUGAAUUCGUGGGGGUUGGUGUGCCCCAUUUUUAGAUGGCGAAUGAUGGUGUCUCUUUAGGAGUAGCGGAGAAUGGUGGCUCUAUCCGGGUGAUGAUGAGUCUCUCACUUUCGCUAGUUGUGAUUAGCUUGUGGUCAGUUGGUAGAGGACGACAGCUGUUGAAGACAACUUGUGGUCACGAAGAGCUCGUGAACACAAAUGAUUUCUCUACAUGUCCUCUUUCUCUUGGGAUGGAUUUGACAACGAGUACCAAAGGUUGGAAAGGGAGGGUGUUCAUUGCUGCUCUUGGUUAGUUAAUUUGCUUUAUAUUAUUCAACUUUAUACAUAUAUAUAUUACAUAUUUUUGCAAAUUAUAUUAUUAUGUAUAAUCAAUAUAUGUGUCACUUUUUGCAUUGGCCUCUUCGAAAAACCGGGUUACUAUUCACUUUAAGUGAAAAGUAAAGAUCACGUAAAAUCUCCAUUCUAACUCGUUUUUUCCCGAAACUUGACGAGUGCUUUUCUAAUUAAAAUACACACAAAAACAUCGUCAACAGAGAGUUUAGCUAUAGUGCCAAAUUCUCGAUCCUUACAAUAUGUCCAAGUAAAUUUAAAAUAAAAUUUUAUUCAUGCAUCAUUGGCGUAACCUCGAAGUUUUUGGAGAAUGUCAUAUCACCAUAUCCACAUCGUGUCAUAUCUCAUAUCCCAUAUUCAUAUCCCAUAUUCAUAUGUGUGCUUCAUAGCUUUGAAGUGAUAUGCAUAUGAACCACAUGAAAAUUACUGAACCAUAUAAUAAGCAGUGGAUCUAUCCUAGCAAGCUUAUUGUCAAUUUAACCACCUCUGGUGACUAGGGUUCUCAUAGAAAAUCGCUUUCUAUCCCUAUAUAUUGUUUUUUAAGUGCACUGAUUUUUGACCAUUCAACUUAUUCUACUACUAGCUCUAUUGCUUUAUUCUGCUGAGUUUCUUAUAGGCAUCAUUACUAGCGGAAAAACAAAGAGCAGAAGUCGCGGAAAACAGAUUUUUUGAAGCACAAAAAACAGGUGAAGAAAGAGAAAAAAAACUUGAGGAAGCAGAAGGAAAACUUCGUCAAUUUCAGGAUUCUUUGAACAGGUUAAUUUUUUAUGCACUAUCUUUCCAUUUCUCGCAUCCCAACUUUUUCUAUGCAUUUUGGGCUUUGGAAAAGUUAAGAAGAUAAUUUUACUUUAGAAGCUUUUUUUUUUCUUCUCUGAACUAGGCUUGAAGAGAAGAUAUCAAAUGUGGAAUCAGAAAAUAAAGUACUGCGUCAACAAGCUGUCUCGAUGGCUCCGAAUAAACUUUUAUCAGGACGUUCUAAAUCCAUUUUGCAGGUAAUUAUAACGAAAUUCUAAUAUUAGCCUUGCUGUGACCAGUUUUACUUAAUAUAAACUUAAUGAUUUGUUUAUAUUUUUACAGAGGAGUUCUGAAAGCGGGCAUAUCCUGGUCGGCGACACAAAGACAGCUGCAGUAAGAAUUAGCCUUUAUGAACUCUCAAGUCUCUGAUACUACCAUACAUAGCGUGGAGAUUUACGAGCUUAGUAGUUAAACCAGAGACUUGGAUGACAUUCUCUAAAUGCUGUUUCAGGACCAACAUUGCUUCUCCACUGUGAGGGAAAAUUCUGAAGUUGAUGAUAAACCACAAAAGUCUCUCAAUGAAAAACAGCAGGUACUAUAUUGAUAAUUUUAGAUCAACUCCCUUCCUCCUAAGAGUCCUUUAAUAUGUAUAGCUUUAAAUCUGUGUAGCAAUCUUCAUUUGAUUAACCGGUUACUAUGCACAGGAAAAUCAGGACUUGUUAAUCCGAUGUAUUGCACAACAUUUGGGCUUUGCGGGGAGUAGACCGGUUGCUGCCUGUAUCAUAUAUAAGUGCCUUCUUCAUUGGAGAUCAUUCGAAGUUGAGCGCACAAGUGUUUUCGACCGUAUCAUUCAAACAAUAGGCCAUGCUAUUGAGGUUUGAACUGUGGUUUUGGCCCUCUAUCAUUUUAAAGUACCAAAAAAUAAAUUUAAUUAAUUAAAUUUUAUUUUUAACAUUUCGUACACAUACACCAAGUGCGAGCAAUAAUUUUCAAUUUUUAGGUGCAUCCGGUGCACCAUGGAUCCAAUAAAAAAAAAUUAUUUUAGUGAAUUUGUCUUAAAUUUAUAAAUAUUAACAUAUAAACUUUUUAAAUAUUAUAAAAUAAAUUGAAUUCACUAAUAUUUAGUUUUGACAUCUCCAUUGUAAAAAUUUACUAGUGUGUAUGAGAUAUAUACUAGGUGUAGUCAAUUACUACAUACUAAAGUUGUUGACAUGUGUCCCCCAAUAUAUUUGGUGCACCUGAUGCACCGUAAUCCUAUAAAAAAUAUUAUUUUAUUUUAAUAUAUAUGUCUACAUUUUAUAUUUUUUAAUAUAUAGACAUUUAAAAUACAGUAAAAUAAAUUUAAUUAAUUAAAAUUUAUUUUAAAAUUUUAUUUUUGACAUUUCAAUCAUACAAAUUUAUUGAUGUUUAUGAAAUGUACACAUCCACGAGGUGCAGGCAAUAAUUUGGACCGGAGUGGAGCCAUUGUUUGUGGACAUGUUGUGUCCAUUCUAAAUACUAUAAAAUAAAUUGAAUUAACUAAAAUUUAGAUUUGACAUCUCUAUUGUGAAAAUUUACUGGCGCGCAUGAGAUAUACAUAUACACUAGGUGUAGUCAAUGAGUUCAACUAAAGGCCACUUUGAAUUAGACCUCAACCUUUAAUUAUUUUGAUUUGAGCUAUUAUUCUAAAUAAGCAAGUUGGAAGAUUUGUUAGAUUUAACAACUUUAUUGCCUAUCAACUAUUAAAUCAAUUAGAGUACUCCCCCACUUUUUGUCAAUUAUCUAUUUUAAGUCCUAAGUUUAGAAAAAAUAUAUCUAAUUUCUUCAAUGUUUUUAUACGUUUGAGAACUAUUUGGUACUUAAUUUUGCUAAAGUUAGAAAUUUCUUACAAAAUUAAAUAAUAUGUUUAUAAAUUUUAGAAAAUAUUAUAAAAUAAAUCAAUUAAAAAACUAUAAAUCAAGUACCUGCCUUUUUAUUUUAUCAUAAUAUUUUUAAUUCUUGACAUUGCAUGCAUUGAUUAACAAAAAUUACCUAAAUAGAAUUAGAAGAAUAAAAAGUAAAAAAAUACAAAAAGACGAUAUGCAUUUUUGGACAAACCAGCCAAAAAAAUAAGCAUAUUACGAACUUACCUUUUUGCUUAAGAAAAUUUUAUAUUUUGGUAUCACAUUUUGAUGCAAAUAUGUUUAAUACAUAUAUUUAAUGGAAAUAUAUACUAUAUUUUAUAAAUAUAAUUAAGAGCAUACCUAUAUACCCGCAGCAAAGCGCGGUUACAAUGCUAGUUGUUUACUAAUGAAAAUAGCGGGCCAUACUGAGUUGUUGCUCUUUAAAUGUUCAAGACCCAGGACAAUAACGACAUCUUAGCAUAUUGGCUCUCCAAUGCUUCGACUUUGUUAUUACUACUCCAACGUACAUUGAAAGCGGGGGGAGCAGCAGGCAUGGCCCCCCAACGUCGGCGGUCAUCAUCAGCUACUCUUUUUGGAAGGAUGACUCAAGUAUCUCUCAUUUUAUACACCCUAAAUAGUUGAAGAUUUUAUCUUGAAACUAACUAGAAGGCUUACUUUUUUCCUCUGUGUUUACUCUUGAGCUAGAGUUUUCGAGGAACCCCUCAAGGUGUGAAUCUUUCUUUUGUGAAUGGGAAUUUGGUUGGCCGAGUAGAUACAUUGCGGCAAGUGGAAGCCAAGUACCCUGCCUUGCUAUUCAAACAACAACUUACUGCAUAUGUCGAAAAGAUAUACGGGAUGAUUCGGGAUAAUUUGAAGAAAGAGAUAUCUCCGUUGCUCGGUUUGUGCAUUCAAGUAAGCAUGAAUUUGUUUAUGGUGGAAAGAAAUGUAGAACUUUGUUAUUAUGGUCACUUAGGAUGUUAUUUACUUCCCUUUUCAUUUUAAAUCAGCUGCACAUUUACUCAAAAAAAAAACAGAAUUUGCAAUUCUGAUAUUUGGCUUGUUUUCAGGCACCAAGAACAUCAAGGGCAAGUUUAAUGAAAGGAUCUUCUCGUUCACUUACGAAUGCUGCAGCGCAGCAAGCGCUUAUUGCUCACUGGCAAGGGAUUGUAAGGAGUCUCGGGAAUUUCUUGAAUACAUUGAAAGCAAAUCAUGUUAGUAUACGCUAUUGACCCUGCUUCUUUGACAGACAAUUUUCCUUGAUUGUUCUUCCAAGCAAAUACAUUUGUUUGGAUUAUCAAUUUUAAUCAGAGUAAUAGAUAAAGUUGAUUUCUGCAUAGAGCAUUGUUUUGACGUGUCCAAGCCUGUGAACAGAUUCAUUCCUUUAAUUUUGUGCAAACCCUUUUUAUCGUGCUUAUUCGAUUACAUAGUGUACAUAUAAAUUCCGGUUACAUAGUGUACAUGUAAAUUCCCCCAACUUCAGCUUAUAUUUAUUUGUUUCUAGGUGCCUCCCUUUUUAGUGCGAAAGGUGUUUACGCAGAUAUUUUCCUUCAUAAAUGUGCAGCUAUUUAACAGGUAGUGGUCUGAGCUCUUUGCGUUGUUUGCGUGAUGCAUGGUCUUGAUAGAUCUGCUUUUCAUAAUGUUCUUCUCUUUCUGGAUGCAGUCUUCUAUUAAGAAGAGAAUGCUGUUCAUUUAGUAAUGGUGAGUACGUCAAAGCAGGACUAGCUGAACUUGAACAUUGGUGCUACAAAGCAACUGAUGAGGUAAAUGUCUUAAAUUUUGAUUCAUGUUGUAGGCUUAAUUGCAGUUUACUAUGCAGUGUUUUCACUUUCAAAUCAGGGGUUUUUCACUUUCUACAGUCAUCUUUCUUGUUUUUGCCAAACUCUAGUUUAAAUAUACAAAAUUAUAUAACUCCCUCAACAAGUAGUUGUAGUGAUAACUUUCCUGAUUCCAUAAUUUGGUGAAUAGCCAUGCGAAGAGUUUUUGUGUUAUGGAAAAUUAGAAGCAACAACGCCAAAUGCGCAUAAAGAGUUUGAAAGCCUAUCUUCCUCUAUGAAGAACACUCUUUUUGUGAGGUUUCUUAAAAUUUACCAUAGAGAGUUAAAAAUAACAAAGUUUUCUGACCUAAACUAAAGAUUUUUGCAUUUCUCCAUGAGCAACAACUAAAAUUGAAUUAUACUUCCUUUUAAAAGAAAGGGGUGACAGACCAAAAACCACAGAAAUUCAAAGUUGACUACACCUGAACAAUUUUGUCUGAGUGAAACUAGUUGGAUAAUUUUUUCAGAUCAUUAUUGACGUCCAAUAGGAUUUAUCUAUUCCUUUUCAAUUAAUUGAGACAUAAAAGACUAGACUCUGGCUAGUUCUUUUAUGGUUAAAUGCAUUAGUUUUUUUAAUUUUUAUUCACCAAUUAUUAGAUUGCAAAUAUUUUCUUUCCAUUGUAUGUUUGAAAAAUAUUGGGUUAAACAUUGGGGCAGUCACUCAACUUCCUGGGAACUAUAAUUUGGUUGCUUAUUUUUGAGCUAAGCAAAUUAAUCUGUUGCUUUGUUAACUUCAUUUUCAGUUCAAAAUACUGGAAUUCAUUUUUGGCGCGUGCUCUCCAUGCAAAUGUAAAUAAUAAACUUGUGAUAUUUCUUAUUAUUUCGUCAUUUAACAUGUUUAAAAGGCUUUUUAACACUAUAAUUCUGUCCAAAAUCUCUCUGAUGAUUUAAAGUGUCACGUGUUGAACCAUAGUUUCUUCUAGAAAUAUAAAAUAAUGUAAAGAAAUAAGAACUGUAAAAAUUCAAAAACCAUUAGUUUUGUACCAUGUUUACGUAGAAAAAUUGUGAUUAAGCUGCUUUAAUGUGACAUGUUACUACUAAGCCAGCUUUCAUUAAUAGAAAGCAACAACAACAACAACAACAAUAAUAAUAAUAAUAAUAAUAAAGCUCGCAAUUUUCAAACUGUAUUACGUGCUGAAUGAAAUUGUCAAGGGUAUUUGGACCAUAAAUUAUGGUAUUGAAAAGAAAUAAGCAUGACCCAAUUGAAAGUAUUAAAGUUCAGAGCCUUAAUUGAAAUGAUUUGAAGUUUGGUAUCCUAAAUGAAUUUUUACCAAAAGGCUGGUGACCAAUGGUGUCAUUGAAAUUAUAUUGAUCGGAAAAUGUCGAGCACAAUCUUUUAUAAAUACGGAUGAAUCCUGUAAAAUGUGAAUGAAAAUUUUUGGGUGACCAAUGCUUUCUGGUUAAAUUUUAUUUAUAAAAUGAAAAAUCCUAUUCAAAUUCGGAUAGACAAUAAGGCACUAACAAAUCUUUAGAAUUAACAUAUAGCGUACGUUUUGAAAGAAAAUUGAAGGCUAGCUUAAAGUAAGUUGUGACAAAUAGAUAGGUUCCAUCAAUUAGUUUCGCAUAAUUUGGAUGAACUUUCAAACUCUCAAUUUUUUUUUUUUUUGAGUAAUCUUAACUAAAUCAUCAGCAAUAUGGUCUCAUGAGCUACUUAUGGAACAGUUCCCUUAAUACAGGUAUGAUGUACAAAUAGACAUACAGAUAUAUAUAGGAAAUGCUAGGUAUUUCAAUAACUAACAAAAUCCUAAAGUUGAAAGAUUAAGCUGAUCAAAUAAUUAUGAAGUUAUUAAUGAAGCACCCAGAGUACAGAUACAUAAUAUUAAAAACAAUGCUCGGAAAUUAGAAUCACUUGUUAUGGAGGUAUGCAAAUAGAUAAACUCGACCAAAAUGUAUCUACCAAAGUGAUUUAUAUAUUCGAAAUUGGUAAUCAUCGUUGUCAUCAGAGUCACCAUUCAUGGCUUCUUUUGGCAUGACAAGGACCAUGAUUCAACUCUCUAGAAAUUUGUACUGGACUUCUAGCCAAUGCAAAGGCAGGCAAAGGACUUGCAUUAAUGCUUUGGGCAAGUCAGCAAGAGAUAUAUGGGUACUUGCAGCGAGCAUCCUGAAAUUCUUAGGGCUGCAAAAAUAGUCUACUUGAAGCAACACAUUUGAUUUAGGUAUGUGGCUUCCCUAGUGGUAAAGUUCAUUAGAAAAUUGCUCUCUUCAAGUCUUCAUAUUCUAGCAGUCAGCUCCUGCAGUAGCAAACUUCAUGCACUUUACGAUCUCAUUUUUAUGUCAUGUUAAAAUACAACAUUCCAGUAGAUGUACAUUUCCACCAUUUGGGUUCUUCGAUUUAGAUGUUUCAUGAUCAAUAUUGUGCAAAGAUCAACUGGAGUCAAAUCAGUAAUAGGAUUCUAGGGUUCUAAUGAUGUGCACUGAUGUGCUUAUGUCUUCACACGUCCUUUUUUUGCAUUUUUGUGUUUACAUAUCAUUUCAAACUCUUGAUCAGUGAAGAAGCUUCAUUAAUUUUUGUGUCCACUGAUUUUCUUAUGUCUUGACACAUCCUUUUUCUGCAUAUUUGUGUUUACAUAUCAUUUCAAACUCUUGAUCCUUAAGUGAAGAAGCUUCAUUAAUUUUUGUUUGUUCUUUUGUAAUAUAGCAUUUGUAAAUUAUUAUCUGCCUCGAUAUUCCACACUAGCGUACUACAAAUAGUUGUCUAUUUAUAUUUAGUCUAAGUACAAAAUUUAGCCACCCCACUUUUCGCAAUCAUCAACGACAAAAUUAAGCCUCGAUGUGUACAGCCUUUCCAUUCCAUUCAGUUAACCUGUACUAGCCAGACUUAUUGAGAAAGAAGAACAAACAUUUCUCAUGGUAGUCCUCUUGAGAUGAGUUUGGGCUUCCAACGUUUGUUUAUCAUGUAUUAGUCAUAGUCUCAAUGGAGGAAUAGAAAAUGAUGAAUGAAUGACAAUGCCAUUACGAGCUAUUUUUUACAAGAAAAAAGGGGAAGCUGCACCAUCGGUCCUAGAAUUUUCUGCUAAAUUUAAGUUUGACUCUCAAACUUCUAAGGGAGAUACUGGACACUCCAAACGUUUGAAACUGUUUUAAUUUAGUCCUUGGCGUAAUUUAUUGUUAGAGGAAAAAUUAUUGCAUGAGCAUGAAGUAUUGUACAUCUACGCGCCAUGCGUAUUUGGACUUUCGAUUUAAUCUCAUGUUUCAAUUCCUACUACCUUUGAGUUGUAGCAUUUUUUUUACUUGGAAAUUGAAUGAUGGGAUUGAAAAUAUGAGUUGGAUGAAAGGCUAGCGGAUUUGUGGUGUAAAAAUGUGCAAAUGCGCCAGAUGCAGGCAGCAACUUCUCUGAAGCCAGGACACAAUCGAAGCACUUCCAAAAUUUUCAAUGUAAAAGUUUAAUGGUCAAUCUGAAACUCGGCCAGAAGUUCGGGGCUUGUAGUUCAAUUUAUCCAGUAAAAGAAUAUUGUCUUGCAAUGUUCUUUUGCUCUGUCUAUUUGUUGGCUGAUAUAUCAUUUUAUGGAAAAGGUCAGGAGCACAUAUUGGCUGAUAAAAUUACUAAUAUACUUCCUAGCUAGCUUUUCUUUCAUGGCCUAAUGGGACACAUCUCAGAUUAUGUGGGCAUUGACUUUUCCCUACGAUCAAGUAACCAAGUGCAUGAAUAAGAAACUUCAUUGGUAAAAGAGGAAUUCAUUUUUUUUCAACUCUGAAACAAUAGAUUCUUUCCUUUUGAUCAUUGAUUAGAGUGUCAUGGCACGAGGUUGUGCUGAAAAUUUGCAGGCCUGGUGCGUGUGUUGGUCACAAAAAAUACAUGUGGGCUGACACUUACUGGCAUGAAAUAUUUAUUUUCUUUAGCAACAAAAUAUUCUAAUAUCUUAUAAUGUAUCUUUAUCAAAUCUUUUGAACUUUAUUGAGUUGAGCCGUGCCAUCAGCACAAGGGUAACACGAUACAGCACGGUGGAUAUAGCCCAUGCCGAUGGGCACUUAAAUUCUCGUCUUAUAUGCUCCUCUCAACUAUUUUCUAUUUUCCCUUUUUUAUUGCUUUUUGCUACUUCAUCUGUUGCCUUUGAAGGCGCGGCAAUGUCUUUGAUGCUUUGAUAAAAGAGUGAUUUUAUUUAUGAAUCAUUUUUGAAUGGAUCUUCUUACUCUAAUCCCAGUUUCGUUGCUCUUGUAAUUUCUGAACAUAAUUCUCAUCAUCCAACUUUAUUCGAAAAUAUGCAGUAUGCAGGUUCAGCUUGGGAUGAGCUAAAGCAUAUUAGACAGGCUAUUGGGUUCCUGGUAAUUAAUUCUUUUUUGUUUCCGAUUUUUAUUUGGAAAUAAGUAUUUCUUUUCUUUUGCCAUCUAUGAACAGUAAUAUUGCUGAGUGAAUUUUGAUAUAUCAACACUAACGCUUGAGAAAUGGUUCUUUUUGAAGGGGUCUGUAAAACUUUAUGUAUUUUCAUGAGUUGGUAGCCUAAUAACAUUCUUCGUCAAAAGUUGCACAUGUCAGCUCACUGAGACUCGUUAUGCUUCAUAUGUAGCCGUGUCAAUACAUGUUAAGAAUUAUUUGUACGAUUUGGUGUUCCAUAACAACUACCUUUCUUUCUUUCUGAUUGAUUCAUUACUUUUUCAGGUCAUCCAUCAAAAGCCGAAGAAGACGUUAGAUGAAAUAAGCCAUGACCUUUGCCCAGUGAGUGAAAGCCUUUUCAUGUUUCCAUUUGCAUGCUUUGCAUGCUAAAUAGAACAUUUUAUCAACCAGCUCUAUUGCUCCAUUGGCAGGUACUUAGUAUACAACAGCUAUACCGAAUCAGUACAAUGUAUUGGGAUGAUAAAUAUGGCACACAUAGUGUAUCACCUGAGGUCAGUUACAAAUAUUGGAGCCUUUCUAUCAAAUAUGACGGAUCCUUGCAAUAAAACAUUCCACUUUUGAUUGUUUCAGUAGAUUAUUUCUGAUGUUAAUUCUUAAUUAGGUUAUAUCAAAUAUGAGGGUGUUGAUGACCGAAGACUCGAACAAUCCUGUUAGCAACUCAUUCUUGUUGGAUGAUGAUUCAAGGUUAUAGCUGUUAAUCUACAAAUACGUUGACAUUGUAACUUAAGGAAAGUCCUUUGAUAUUUUUAUUGGUCAUUCUGGUUACUCAUCUGACAUAUACAUUGGACAUGCAGCAUACCUUUUUCGGUUGAUGACAUAUCAAAAUCAAUGGAGCAGAUUGACAUAUCUGACGUGGAACCACCUCCGCUAAUUCGAGAAAACUCGGGUUUCGUGUUCCUGUUGCCUCGCUCUGAAUAGAGAUAGUGCAUAGUAAUAUUGAACCCAAACAACUUGAUAUGAUUUUAUGAGACCAUCAGCAACCCGGUAUAAUCUUUUGAGAGGUCAUCAGCAGCCGUUCUGAGGUCUUGUCUGUCUACGAUUGCCCCUUCAUUUUGAGUGCUUUUCCUUAUACUAUGAACUAGAAUCCUGAUCGAGUUCACAGCAACAGAAAGAUGUAAUUUUAGUACUCCCACUUGUCGAAAAUAUUGUUUUAUUUCAAAACCUGGCGGGGCUCUUAACACAAAAUGAGCGUGAAGAUUUUUGCUAUGUAGAAUGUACUUUUUGCAGCCAAAACAUGUAAUCUCUUUUCUAUUGCAUAUUUGUUCUAUUCCCUUCUGGGCAUUUUGAUGAAUUGAUUUUGGAGAGCAUUUGCAUGUCACCAUCGAUGGUUGAACUCCGUUUGGGGCAUUUAAUUGUUCUUGGUUUGAAACAACUAGGCCAAAAAAAGGGGCAUCUUAUAGGAGAACCGCGAUGUGGGCCGCCGGUGGUUAGCUGAUGCAGGAUGGGGUAUGAGUUCUUACGUUUUGUGGGCUUUAAAAUAGGUUUAUGAUCAUUUAUUUUUUCUGAAAGCUUUUGAAAUUUUAGAAAAUUUGAAAAUAUUUAUUAAAUGUUUUUUGAUUUUUGGGAAAAGUUCAAAAAUAAAAAUAAGAAAGUAUGAAAAUUAUGAAAAAAAGAAAAUUUAGAAAAAUAGAAAAAUAAAAGAAAAAAUAGAAAAAAUAAUAACCAUUCACUUUUCUACUUUAACUCGCUUUUGGAUUAUGACUCAAUUUAAGGUGAUGUAUACGCAAAGGGGGAAAAAAAAAAAGAGACAUUAUUGUCAAAGAAUUCUUCAUUAAACAUUUACAAUUUCAUACUCAUCAUCAUGCAACGAAGCUCUAUGCUUUAUUUAUACUAUCUUUAGUCUUUAUUACACAUAACAAACUUCAAAUUUGAACCUAUUCUUGAUAACUAACCAAAAAAAAUGUUAUUUAGAGGUUAUCUAAAUAACAAAAAUUAAAAAAUAAAUAUAGAUAAAAUCAAAUAAGAGGAUAGCUAAAAAUUCUCAUUUAAUAACUAAAAGAUGUGAUCAACUAAAUUAAAUACAGAUAAAACUAAAUAAUAUGAUAACUAAAUACCCUUAUUAACUAACUAAAAGAUACAGUUAACUAAUCCGACUUCAAAGACAGUGAACGCAAUAGGUUUGCAUCGAUCAAACUGAUUGGGUUAGGCCCAUUCCGCAUCAAUAGCGCUUUGGGCGAAUCUUUGUCACACGCCAAUUCCACAUCGAAAGCCCACGGUGCAACCCUCUUAUCUCAAUCAAUGGAUGAAGCAGUUGUCUCUGAAAAGUAAACCACAAGAAGGCGUGAGAACUAAACAAUAGUUCUCAGUGGGUAUGAUCAACGACAACCAUAGCCUUCCCACUAGGUCCAUAGAGGGAAGAAUAUGUAAAGAACAACGAAAUCUACUAUAUAUUGAGUUACAAGACAGAAUAUGAGUAAAUGAAUCUCUACUACUUAUCAUGUCUCCACACAUGUAAUGAACGGGAGAGAAAGUGACUAACGCAUGCAUUAAUGCUAAUACUAAUAAAUAAAUACGGUAAUAGUACUCAAUCGCAACAACCGACUCGCAGGUUUGGUCAAGCAUGUGCCCACCUAGUGCAUGGAUACGCUUCUGCAGGUGUGUUCGACAACACCUAGACUACUUUCUCUGCUAUCGUUGGCCAAAGCUUGGAGCAGCACGAAGAAGAGUGACCCUCUUAGUAAGUCUAACACAGCGUAACUCUAUCAAGCUCAAUGUAGUUCUGCAGGUUGUAGUCUAACUGAUGAUCAAAUAGAUUACAAAUAACCAAUACAAUACUGUAGUGUACCAUAUUUAGGUAUAUUAUACUGAACUUUGGCCAAGUUGGGGAAGGUACAAUUGAGAAAACGAUUAUAAAUAUGUUUAGAAAUGAGUUGUGAGGGUUUCAGAAUGAUUAGAAGAGAAUUAGAGCUCUAACAUGUGAAAACGAAAAAUUUUGGAAAAUAGUAUUUUUGAGCUGUUGGACUCUUGGGGUCCAAACCUUCCUUUGAGGAUCCAGACCUUGAUCUUUUUCGUAUGGGCCUAGAGUAUCAAGGUUCAGACCUUGAUGGAGGAUCUGGAGCUUGAAGGAGGAUCCGGACCUUGCUUUGCCAAUCAGGUAUGGGAUCUGGACCCUAUGCUGGCAGAAUGUGCAGUUCAGGGGGUUUUCUCCAAUUUUUGCUGAACCACUUAAAUGGGGACCUCAGCCCCAUCACCUCCCCACAUGCCCACACAAGAGAAACACCUUUCUCUUCCUUUCUCAUUCUCUUCUUCUUUCCAUAUACCGAAUCCCCGUAUCUUAAUGCCAACUUUGGUCCAAUUGAUCAAAGUAUGGUGUGAAGGCGAUAGGCAAGGUUCUCAUACUGCCUUGGAGGCAUAGGGUGUUAGAUGUAUGCCCUAGAAGCCAACCAGGCCGACCCAUGUAUUCUUUCUAGAACAUAAAUUUAUAUUUAAAUUUAAAAUAAUAUGAAUAAAUUUGGGUUUUUAUUUUCAUUCAUGUUGUGUAUGUGUCCAUGAAUCGUCCAAGGAAUUAAUAAGAUGAUGACAUAUAUUCUCAAAGAGUUGAGAAUUUGAGACAUGUGUCAUUGGUGGUUAAUUCCUAAAUGCUCCCGACUGAUGGAUCAUUAUGGGGACGGUGAUUGAUCUAAUGAGAUUGAUGCAUAGGUCGCUUCCCUUUUUGGGUAGAUGUGUGAGAUAUUGAAACUCGAUGGAUUUUGGCUAACUUUGGCUAAAUAGACCAAAGUGGGCAAUUGAACGGUUUGGACAAGUUCCAUUCGGUAUUCCAACAAGUUUGGAAGAGCAAAAAUGAGUUCCAAAGGUGUUGGAAUGGUUUUGACAUCGAUCGGCACGAAGUAGAGCCGAAACGAAGUGAAAACAGCAUUCUGGAGCUCUUGUACCGGUACAAGAGUGAUGGUUGUACCGGUACAACCAUCGCAGCUCUUGGAUUGGUGGCUGCCAGACCUUGUACCGGUACAAGGGGGUCUUGUACCGGUACAAGCCCUGCGCAACCGAGAAACCGAGCUCUCGGGUUGGAGGCUGCCAGACCUUGUACCGGUACAGGGGGUCUUGUACCGGUACAAGCCCUGCGCAACCGAGAAACCGAGCCUCGGGUUGGGUUGUCUGCCAGGCCUUGUACCGGUACAAGAACCCAUGUACCGGUACAAGGGACCCGAAACUGCAGGUCAAGUUGGGAAAAUAGAAAAUAAAGGGGCUUUUUGGGAUUUUGUUACAUUAGAGGGUUAUAAUACCUCUCUCUCUCAGCCUCCCUCUCACUCUUAGCCUCUCUCUCUCCCUCUCACUUAGCUCUCUCUCUCUCUAACCGUAGAAGAAGGAGAAGAAGAAAAGAAGGAGAGAAAGAAGAAGAAGAGAAGAAGGAAAGGAAGGAGAAGAUCAAGGAGAAGAAGAAGAAGCUUCUCUCCCUCCUCUUCCUCAAGCUAGAGCUUGCUUUGGAGCAAACCUUAGAGGUAAGCCUCAACCCUAAUUUGUGAUUUCUAGGGUUUGGGAGGUUUUUGUUACUUUUAAUGGUUCAAAUGGAACCUAAUGAGUUUAGAGGACAUGGAUCUAGCUCACAAUGAAGCUAAAAACCAUGGUUUCCCAUGGGUGCUAAGCCUAGGGUUGGAUUUUGGGGUUUUUGGGAUUAUAGGGUUUUGAUCUAUUUUGAUGGGUCGAAAACCUAAUUGUUAUGCUCCCGAACGCGUAGGCGAAGACGGUUCGUCGAUCCGUCGAGCGAGCGCGGAGAUAUCGCCGAUUUGGUCACUUAGGGUUCGUUUUGACCCAAGGUGUUGAAGCGGCGCACGUGGAUUUCGACGCCGAGUUUCUUAGCUUUUUGGCACUACCACAAGGUGGGUGGUGACCUUCCCGAAGCCGCGGGGCUACAUUCUAUGUCCAAGAUCUAAUUGCAUCCUAUUCAUGUUGCAUAUAGGGUUAGAAGAUGAUUAUUGUUGUUUAUAUUUGCAUGCUAGUAGCUAUGUAUCUUGUUGAUUGAUCCAUGAUCUAGUAUGCAUGAAAACUACAUGAUGAAAACCUAGACCCUAUAUGUAAUGGUUAAUGUUUAUGAGAUUAAAGAACUAGUAUGAUGUAACUAGUGUUGAAAAUGAGUCUAAAUGACGAGUGGCAUCUAGUUUAGAAAACUAUGACAAGUGGCAUCUAGUUAUAGAAAACUAUGAUGAAGGACAUAUGGUUAUUGAUAAUUUUGAUAUGAGAACCUUAGUGUAGUUGAGACACUAUGAGAUUGGGUACAAGAACACCUUGAUUCCAUNNNNNNNNNNNNNNNNNNNNNNNNNNNNNNNNNNNNNNNNNNNNNNNNNNNNNNNNNNNNNNNNNNNNNNNNNNNNNNNNNNNNNNNNNNNNNNNNNNNNNNNNNNNNNNNNNNNNNNNNNNNNNNNNNNNNNNNNNNNNNNNNNNNNNNNNNNNNNNNNNNNNNNNNNNNNNNNNNNNNNNNNNNNNNNNNNNNNNNNNNNNNNNNNNNNNNNNNNNNNNNNNNNNNNNNNNNNNNNNNNNNNNNNNNNNNNNNNNNNNNNNNNNNNNNNNNNNNNNNNNNNNNNNNNNNNNNNNNNNNNNNNNNNNNNNNNNNNNNNNNNNNNNNNNNNNNNNNNNNNNNNNNNNNNNNNNNNNNNNNNNNNNNNNNNNNNNNNNNNNNNNNNNNNNNNNNNNNNNNNNNNNNNNNNNNNNNNNNNNNNNNNNNNNNNNNNNNNNNNNNNNNNNNNNNNNNNNNNNNNNNNNNNNNNNNNNNNNNNNNNNNNNNNNNNNNNNNNNNNNNNNNNNNNNNNNNNNNNNNNNNNNNNNNNNNNNNNNNNNNNNNNNNNNNNNNNNNNNNNNNNNNNNNNNNNNNNNNNNNNNNNNNNNNNNNNNNNNNNNNNNNNNNNNNNNNNNNNNNNNNNNNNNNNNNNNNNNNNNNNNNNNNNNNNNNNNNNNNNNNNNNNNNNNNNNNNNNNNNNNNNNNNNNNNNNNNNNNNNNNNNNNNNNNNNNNNNNNNNNNNNNNNNNNNNNNNNNNNNNNNNNNNNNNNNNNNNNNNNNNNNNNNNNNNNNNNNNNNNNNNNNNNNNNNNNNNNNNNNNNNNNNNNNNNNNNNNNNNNNNNNNNNNNNNNNNNNNNNNNNNNNNNNNNNNNNNNNNNNNNNNNNNNNNNNNNNNNNNNNNNNNNNNNNNNNNNNNNNNNNNNNNNNNNNNNNNNNNNNNNNNNNNNNNNNNNNNNNNNNNNNNNNNNNNNNNNNNNNNNNNNNNNNNNNNNNNNNNNNNNNNNNNNNNNNNNNNNNNNNNNNNNNNNNNNNNNNNNNNNNNNNNNNNNNNNNNNNNNNNNNNNNNNNNNNNNNNNNNNNNNNNNNNNNNNNNNNNNNNNNNNNNNNNNNNNNNNNNNNNNNNNNNNNNNNNNNNNNNNNNNNNNNNNNNNNNNNNNNNNNNNNNNNNNNNNNNNNNNNNNNNNNNNNNNNNNNNNNNNNNNNNNNNNNNNNNNNNNNNNNNNNNNNNNNNNNNNNNNNNNNNNNNNNNNNNNNNNNNNNNNNNNNNNNNNNNNNNNNNNNNNNNNNNNNNNNNNNNNNNNNNNNNNNNNNNNNNNNNNNNNNNNNNNNNNNNNNNNNNNNNNNNNNNNNNNNNNNNNNNNNNNNNNNNNNNNNNNNNNNNNNNNNNNNNNNNNNNNNNNNNNNNNNNNNNNNNNNNNNNNNNNNNNNNNNNNNNNNNNNNNNNNNNNNNNNNNNNNNNNNNNNNNNNNNNNNNNNNNNNNNNNNNNNNNNNNNNNNNNNNNNNNNNNNNNNNGGUGGAGUCGGCGGCCGAACCCACUGGGAACUAUUCGUAGUUCUCACACCCGUUGUUGCAGGUGCUAGUUCGAGUGCCCCGACCGAGCGAGAGGAUCGUGGCAAGGGCUUGGCGCCCUAGCUGUAUCAGUUGAUAGCUUACUUUCUACUUGCAUUAGCUCCACCCUGUCUUUAUAUUUUGAGAGUAGAUGUUGUAUAGGGUGAGGUUUUGGAGAGUACUUGAUGUAUUUACAUUUUGGAAAAGAUUGAAAAAAAAUGUAUGAAGUUUAAUGUAAGUUGUAUUUAAUGCUUUAGAUUUCAUGGUUCAAAUAGUUAAGUUUCUCUCUUUUGUAUACUUGUAUGCUUUUACUAGUAUCACUUGCUCUCGAUGGUUUUAACACUUUUUGUGUUAUCGUUGUUUGAUUGUGUAUGAAAUCAAGUUGUUUUUCCUGGGGACUUGUUGUACAUAAUCUCGUUAGUUAGCCUUGGGCGGAUAGGGGAGACUUUGUCCGUUCGGCCUCACGCCGCCGCCCUCGAACCGGAUCAAAUAGGUACCGUUUUCGGGUCGUGCGGUCGGGGCGUGACAAGAUGAGUCUCGAGUCGACAGUGUGGGGACACUGAAGCAAAUAUGCAGGUGGUUGUUAGAGAACAAGGGUACCAAGUGUGACCAACGCGAGAAGUCACUUGGAUGUCUACUCACUCGUCAGUGACUUACUCAAUAUUGUAGUAGUGUGUGUCAUGCCCCCGACCGCACUACCCGAAAACGGUACCAAUUUGGCCCAUUUCGAGGGCGGCGGGCGUGAUGCCGAACGGGCAGAGUCUCCCCUGUCCGCCCAAGGCUAACCAACCAGAUCAUGUACAACAAGUCCCCAGGAAAUCAACUUGAAUACAUACAUGAUCAUACAACAACAACGAGAGCACGAACAGUGCUGAACAAACAAGAGCAAGCGUCACAAGUAGAAGACAUAUAAGUGAAACAAAAGAGAGAUACUUAACUGUUCUAUUACAACCAUUCUACUUGAUACAUUUAAUUACAACUUGCAUUCUUUUCCAAAAUAUGAAUAUAAGCUUACAUUUAUCUCAAAAUACCUCACAUCCUAUACAUCAUCUCCUCUCAAUACAUGUAUAGGGUAACUCUAAUGCAAAAUACGAAAGUAAACUAUCAACUAGCACAAGGGCGCUAAGCCCUUGUCGCGAUCCUCUGCCGAUCCACUCUCGUGUGUACCUGUACCCCAAAACCACACGGGGUGAGAACUAUAUAAAUAUAGUUCCCAGUGGGUUCGGCCGCCGACUCCGCCGAUCUUCCCACUAGGUCCAAGCUGGCACAGAUAGAUAGAAGAAAGAGAUAUAUGGAAAUAAACUGCUACUAUAUCUACUAUGCCAUCAAAUGCAAAGAAUGCAUGUCACAUCAUUUGUCAUGCUAGUAUGCUUUGACAAUGAAGUAAAUACAACUACAACAUAGCUAUGCAGUAUACUAUAUCUAAACAUAGUAUGAAUGCAAUACUCUUAUGCUAUUCAUGUUAUUACCCAAUCUGCUAGGCUACUUUGCCUAAGAUCUCAAAUCUAGUAGGUGAAAAGCUACCUCAUUCUUGUCUCAUUCGAUUCAUGUCUUAAGGGUCCUGAGCAAAGACUUAGAUCUCGAAGGUCCGACCCAAUCUCGAAGGUCCUAGGCAAAGGCUACCCCGCACUUUGCCCGACCCACAUCUCAAGGUCCUAAGCAAAGGCUACCCCACACUUUGCCCGACUCACAUCUCGGCCUACUAGGUAUAAGGCUUCUCCGCUCAAAUCUCAUAGGUGAAGGAAUAAUAUGUCCACUCACUGUAUGUAGGCAAAUCCACCAAUCCAACUACCAAGCGACUAUGCUCGCUAUCAAUGUAUGUCUUAGUGAAGGCUAACUACCAUACCACUAGGUUCAUCGAUAAGGCUAUUCAUUAGAUCACCCAAUCCGCCGGCAAGCCAAAGGCAACUAUGAACCACAACAACAACUAUGGAAGCAAGUUAUCAUGAACAACAAUAAUGAGUAUGACUCAAUAGGUAACCAAAUCUCAUGGUGAACACAAGGUUCACAAGCAAGGCUCACAUGUCAACCUCCUAGGGAUGCCUAGCUGGACUAUCCCCGAGUCAACCUCCUAGGGAUGCCUAGCUGGACUAUCCCCGAGUACGCCUGCGGAUAACAAGCGGCUAUCCGAGCAGCAAGUAGGGCUGCCUCUCUAGUGACCAAUCUCCGGAGCGCACAACUUGAGGGGAGCGACCCCACCAAGCGCAGACAGGCAAUGUGAGCGUGAUCAUCUCACGAGCAACAACAACCUACCCUCUAAGGGUAAUCUCAUUAUGGAAUCAAGGUGUUCUUGUACCCAAUCUCAUAGUGUCUCAACUACACUAAUGUUCUCAUAUCAAGGUCAUCAACAAUUAUAUGCCACUCAUCAUAGUUUUCUAACUAGAUGCCACUCAUCAUUUAGACUCAUCAUCAACACUAGUUACAUCAUACUAGUUCUUUAGCAACAUAAGCAUUAAACAUCUCAUAUAGGGUCUAGGUCUUUAUUGUAGGGUUUUCAUCAUGUAAUCAUCAUGCAUACUAGAUCAUGGAACAAUCAUCAAGAUGUAUAGCUACUAGCAUGCAAAUAUGAGCAAUGACCAUAAUCAUCUAGCACCUAAGUGCAAUAAAUACAAUAUGCAACUUAAUCGAUUAAUGCACUCAACAAGUUUAACCCACAUUAAUCAUGCCCUUAUAGGGUUUCACCACACUAAGUCCCAAUCUCAUGCAUACUAGGUACAAGUAUUAAUCAAGUAACACUACACUCCCACUAGCAUGCCAUGACAUGUAACAAUUGCCAACUAGUACCCUAUAAUGCAAUAUCCCAAUAUGCAACUUGAUCAAU